rnacentral:lncRNA from 1 species
UCCGGGCCGACGGUCUCGGUGAGCAUCAGGUUCUCGCCGGUCUCGCCCUCCAGCUUGGCGAUGGCGGCGUCGAUCUCCUGGAGGGCGCCGUACUUGAGGUCGGCGACCCGGGCCAGGUCCAUGCGCCGCUCGGCCUCCUGCAGCGUGAACUGCAGCUCCUCGCGCCGCUGCUUCAGCUUCCGGAUCUCGUCGAUCCGCUCCUUCUCCUUCCUGUACUUCAUGGUCAGCGGCUGCAGCUUGUCCCUCAGGUCGUCCAGCUCCUUCCUCACCUCCACCAGCCGGGCCUUGCUGGCCUUGUCCUUCUCCUUCUCCAGCGCGUGCAGCUCCACCUCCAGCUGAAUCCGCUUCCUCUCCAGGUUGUCGAUCUCCUCCGGCUGGCUGUCCAGCUGCACCCUCACGUUGGCGCACGCCUCGUCCACCAGGUCGAUGGCCUUGUCCGGCAGGUGCCGGCCCAUGAUGUACCUCGCCGAGAGCUGCGCCGCGACGACGAUGGCGCGGUCCUGGAUGCGCACGCCGUGGUGCCCCUCGUACUUCUCCUUGAGCCCUCGCAGGAUGCUGAUGGUGUCGGCGACGCUCGGCUCGGCCACGUACACCUGCUGGAACCGCCGCUCGAACGCGGCGUCCUUCUCGACGUACUUGCGGUACUCCUCCAGCGUGGUGGCGCCGAUGCACCGGAGCUGGCCCCUGGCGAGCAUCGGCUUGAACAGGUUGGCGGCGUCCAUGGACCCCUCCGUCCUCCCGGCGCCGAGGACGAGGUGUAUCUCGUCGAUGAAGAGGAUGACCUUGCCCUCGGCCUCCUCCACCUCCUUGAGCACGGCCUUGAGCCGCUCCUCGAACUCGCCGCGGUACUUGGCGCCGGCGACGAGCGCGCCCAUGUCGAGCGCGACGAGGCGGACGUCGAGCAGGUUGCUGGGCACGUCCCCGCGCACGACGCGCUGCGCGAGGCCCUCCACGACGGCCGUCUUGCCCACGCCGGGCUCGCCGAUGAGGACGGGGUUGUUCUUUGUGCGGCGGGAGAGGAUGCGCACGACGCGGCGGAUCUCCUCGUCGCGGCCGAUGACGGGGUCGAGCUUGCCGGCCACCUCGACGAGGUCGCGGCCGUACGUCUUGAGCGCCUGGAAGUUGGUGUCGCCGGAGGCGGACUCGACCUUGCGCGAGUUGUCCCCGCCGCGGAGCUUCUCGAGCUCGGCGCGCACCCGCGAGGCGGACACGCCGGCCUCCUUGAGGCAGUCGGCGAUCUGCGCGUCCUCGAGGAGGCCCAUGAGCAGCUGGUCGACGGCGAGGUGCGAGUCCCCGCGCUUCUUCUGCGCGGACUGCGCGCGCCGGAUGGCCUUGAUGAGCGCCGUGGAGGCCGGCACGGAGUCCGGCGGGGGGGACUGCGACGGCAGCUUCUUGAGCGCGCCGGAGAGCACGCGCUCGAACGAGUCCCCCGCGGACGCGUUCCCGCCGGACGCCCCCGCGACCGCCUGGCGCAGUAUGCCCGACUUGUCCGCCGCCAGCGCCGCCGCCAGGUGCAGCGGCGUGAUCUGCGCGUGGCCGGCCUCCGACGCCGCCUCGUGCGCCGCCACCAGCGCCUCGUUGGUCUUGUGCGUGAAGUUGUCCGGGUUCAUGGCUGCUGCUGCUUGCGCUCGCGCUCUACAAUGGAUCGAACUGACAAGAUUUUGGGUUGGAAGAUUGAUUGGGAUCGGCGAGUGUUUGUGGGAUUGCUCUGCUUCUGGAUUCUGAUGGUGCUGGGGGCCGGAGGGCGGUGGGCAUAAGAAGGAGGGAGCGGAGAGUUCGCCGGGAGUCUAGAAGGUAGUGGAAGCCGCCGGAAACGGAAGCGGCGAGAUGGCACGGGAGUGUUCGUCUGACACUAUGGGGCCGUGCGCUCUCCUGGCCGUUGGAUUGGCAGGGGCAGGGCCUCCGAUGCGCGACGUUUGUAUCUGCAGUGGAUGCGGUUGCUCGGUGUCGGCUUUCUCCGGGUCUGUAUCUAGGCGGUAGUGCCUGACCUGUGGGGCUAGGUGAGUCCACCGCUGGGUCCCACGCACCAUUUCUGGACCUUUUUUCCGUUCCAUCCAACAAGUUCAUGGCGGAACCGAUCCAGUCACGAGGUUUUCUGCUGACUCCGGUGCCUGGGGCAAUGACACGUCCGCGUUGCCAACGCCAGAUGUCAAAAUGCUCCGGGUCGCGCGGUCCAAGUGUCAAUGCCCAGGGAACACGCACGCUUCACUAGUGGCUGUUCGGAUAAGAAGUGCUACCCCCUCAUCGUUUACAGUACUUCCGCUUGUGUUUUCGGUCAUAUUAAUCAUGAUUUAAACUAAUAAAAUAAAAUUAUAUGUAGCAAAAAUUUUAUUAUUAAAAACAACAUUUAAAUAUGACUAGUAAUUUUUUGUGUGACAUGCAUUAAUAUUCUACUAAUCAAAGACAUGGUUAUACUUUAACUCAAUGCGUUGGGACUCACGACAGCUUCAACCCUAUCCUUCAAAUCGAACACAUUCGUUCACGGACUGAUGGGACCAGUCCACAGGCAAUGAUGUAGAAGCCGACCAUCCAAAGCUUCCUGCAUACAUUUUAAACCAAAUUGCGAAUAAACCUUCUGAGACGCAGUCCAAGCGCCGGCGCCCUAAACGCCGUUCUAAGCCUCGUCGCUCGAAAGACGGCAACACUGGCACCGGAGAAAAUAGUACUCCGGGCGACGCCGAAAACAAUGAAGACCCUGUGGGAGCCGCAUCCGAACAGGAGGAACAAGACAACGGGCAAAAUAACCCUGAUAAACAGGCCGUGCCCAACGACCCAGAUGACGAUAGCUAUCGUCCAGUCUCCGACGAUGAGGAAAGCCUCGGCAGCGAGGAUUUCAUCGUGCCUGAGGCACCCCUCGAGCAGGAGCGCUUCAAGCGCCAGCUAAUAGCUACUGCAAGAAGCCUAAAGAAAAAGCAGCAGCAGCUCCAAGUCGAUCAAGACCUACUCAUUGACAGAUGGACCGAUGUCCUGGCAACCGAAGAAAACGACCUCAAGCGCCCAGCCAAGAGUUACCCAAAGCGCAGACUGCUACCUCAGUUCGAUGAGGAGGCACCAAAUCCCAUACCUCCCUCGCGUAACGCGGAACGACCAGCACGCGGUCGGGAUAGUGCGGCAGGCCGACCACCCCGUGGUCGGGAUAAAACGGCAACUCAGGCCGAACAACAGCCCGCCCCACCGCCUCGCAAAAACAGGGACAAAACAGCUCGGGACCAUACAUACGACCUUCGACGGGACCUGGACAGUAGAGCAGGACACACCAUAUCAAUCUACGGAUCGCGAGGACGCUUCCCCACUCGGGAUGACAGCCACCUAUUCGGACGUGACAAACUUAAUCACAUCCGGGCCGAUAACCGCAGACGGACUUCAUCGGAGGUGCGCUGUGACGCGGCCCGCUAUAGAGGCGCCGGACACCCUCUCUGCUUCACAGAGGAGGUGCUGGAUCACGAAUUCCCCGAGGGGUUCAAGCUCGUCAAAUAUUGAAUCAUACGACGAAACAACCGAUCCCGCAGUGUGGAUCGAAGAUUUUAUUCUCUACAUCCACAUGACCCGAGGAGAUGACCUCCACGCUAUCAAAUACCUCCCAUUAAAGCUCAAAGGACCAGCUCGACACUGGCUAAACAGCCUGCCCGAAAAUUCCAUCGGCAGCUGGGAGGACUUGGAAGAAGCUUUUCUUGACAACUUCCAAGGCACUUAUGUCCGGCCACCUGACGCCGAUGACUUAAGUCACAUAGUUCAACAACCUGGAGAGUCCGCCAAAAAAUUCUGGACUAGGUUCUUAACCAAAAAGAACUAGAUCGUCGACUGUCCGGAUGCCGAAGCCCUAGCGGCCUUUAAACAUAGCAUCCGUGACGCCCGCCACCUCGGCCAAGAAAAGCAGAGGUCCAUGGCAGCCCUCACGAUACUUAUGACCCGCUUUUGUGCGGGAGAGGAUAGUUGGCUGGCUCGUAGUACAAACACAACCAACGAAGCAGGCCCCUUCGAGGCCAAAAACAGCACCAGCAAGCUCCGGCGCAACAGACACAAACGCCGAAGCAAUGGCGAUAACACUGAUGACACUACAGUUCACGCCGGAUUCAGUGGCUCCAAGUCCGGCCAGCGAAAGAAGCCCUAUAAAAGGAACGGCGGAGGACCAUCCAGCUUGGACCGCAUACUCGAUCGUCCGUGCCCGAUACAUGGCACCCCAGACAAACCGGCAAACCAUACUAACAGAGAUUGCCGGGUCUUUAAGCAAGCCAGCAAGAUAAAUAGCGGAAACAAGGAAGGGGAAUCGCAGAGCAAGGACGAUGAUGAGGAGCUUCGGCAGCCGACACUGGGGGCAGAAGAAAUUUCCCCCUCAAGUCAAAACGGUGAACAUGAUAUACGCUACUCACAUCCCAAAAGGGAGCGCAAGCGAGCACUCAGGGACGUCUACGCGGUAGAGCCAGUUGCCCCAAAAUUCAAUCCAUGGUCGUCAUUCCCGAUCACCUUCGAUCGUCGAGAUCAUCCAACUAGUAUCCGACAUGGCGGUGCAGCCGCACUGGUCCUCGACCCGAUCAUCGACGGAUUUCACCUAACGCGAGUCCUAAUGGACGGUGGUAGCAGCCUCAACCUGCUCUAUCAGGACACAGCACGGAAGAUGGGCAUUAAUCCCUCACGAAUCAAACCCACAAAUACUACCUUUAAAGGAGUCAUACCAGGCAUAGAGGCCUGUUGUACGAGCUCAAUCACGCAGGAGGUGGUCCUCGGUUCCUCGGACAACUUCCGAAGCGAAGAGUUAAUCUUCGAUAUCGCCCCCUUCCGCAGCGGCUACCACGCACUGCUAGGGCGAACCGCGUUUGCUAGAUUCAACGCGGUGCCACAUUAUGCUUAUCUCAAGCUCAAGAUGCCCAGUCCACGCGGCAUCAUUACAGUAAAUGGAAACACGGAACGUUCCCUCCGCAUAGAGGAACACACCGCAACCCUAGCAGCGGAAGUACUGAGCGGCCUUAUCAAGCGGCACCAUAAUCCGGCCGCCGAGCCCCUGGACAUCGUCAAGAAGAUCCGGACUACACUGCAACAGGGCAGCUCUGUUCGUCAAGAGCUGAAUUAGUAAUUCGGCCUCCGUCUCAUCCCCGAUGAGGAAAUGGCAUUCGUACAACGCGUACAUAACUAUGCACUCAAAACCCCAUGGGGACUGACGGAGGCAUAACUCGCUCGCGACCCACAGUGCGGCUUUACCGACCCUGGGAUUUCCACGUCUUUACUGUCCCUUUUCAUUUCAGGUUUUUCCCCUUUUCAAGGUCUAUGCGGACGACCCGCUUGUAGAACACACCAAGGAGGCAAGGAGCUCUGACAUACAAGGGAAUCCCCAGGUGGUCUCUAAACGAUUGCCAUACCUGUUUUACUUGCCCGCACGCAGCUCGCCCUUGGUUGCGGCAUAUUAAAUAGCCUUACUUGCUUAUCGCAUUACUUGCACAAAGUACGCCUCGACGUACUAAUUACAUAACAAUGGUGAAUAAAUAGUGGCGUCAGCUUAUUACUUAAUUUUUUAUGUUUACUCACCUUUGUAUUUAUCACUCAUUGCACACGUAUAUCAUGGUACGUAUUGCCACGCCAGGGGCUUCACUACGCCCCACAUUACGGCAAUAAAAGUCCGAACACUUUUACAGUAUAGUUCGGCACUCCGAACUUAUAGCAUUAUAUGCAUCGGCUCCGAAUCAUGUCUUUGGUCAAUAGUUGGGUUGCCCGGCUCCUGUGCUUACUACCUUACGUUCCGCUAUAUCGGCUAGGGUAGUAAAGGGAGAACUACUGCGAUUGUGUCCCGGUUCUUCCGGACGAGCACCUCAGUAGAGAAAGCCGAAAGCUGACUGUCAUGAUGCGGCGAGAGCCGGUCAGCUGUUCGAGAGGUCCAAAAUCGUUAGAGAUUUUUUCCGCUUCUUGCGAAGAAUCGGUUCUCCCGAUUAGGUGAGUACAACGCCCCUAGUUCGACCAUCCGAAUACCAGGGGCUUCGCCGACUUUCUUAAUUGUCAAGCUCCUAUGGCUAAGUGAGGGCGAUAAAGGCCGCAUAGUCUGAUUGCCUUGUUCGUUGAGCUAAACACCUCCUUUAAGGACCAGAAUAUGGAGUAAAGAGUGUUUAGAUUUAUCCCGAACACCCCCGUACUAUCUACGUGGGGGGAGAAGCCGACGACUGGUCAACCCUCAAAUUUCAUAAACGGCCGCACAAGAGGUAAAAUGUAAAUCAAAAGCAUCAUAUUAUAUAACAUAAUCGUUCCAUAUUACAGGGCAAGAUAAUACAAAUAUUCUCAUGGGAACAUGACAUCCUUCGAACAUUGCUCCGCCACAAGGCGGGACCCCUCCAGGACACCAUCAAAAUAGAGCUCGGGUCGACGAUGCUCCUUGACCUCCGGCGGCUCCUCGGUCAUCAGCUUCUUGGCAUCUAGCUUUGCCCAAUGCGUCUUGACGCGGGCAAACGCCAUACGCGCACCUUCAAUACAGACCGACUGCUUCAUGACUUCGAGCCGCGGACAGGCACUUACAAGCCGAUUAACAAGCCCAAAGUAGCUGCUAGGUACAGGCUCGGCAGGCCACAGCCGGACUAUCAGGUCCUUCAUGGCUAGCUCUGCCGACCUGUGCAGCUCGACCAACUGCUUCAGCUGGUCGCUGAAGGGCACCGGAUGUUCGGGUCCAAGAUAUUGGGUCCAGAAUAGCUUCUCCGUAGACCUCCCUUCUUCGGCUCUAUAAUGUUCGGCAACAUCCGAUAUACUGCGCGGCAGAUCCAUAAACGCCCCUGGAAACCCAAAUUCGGAUAAGUACAAGGAACGUUUCUUCUACAUACUUUCUUUGCAUGGCGAAAGACUUACCCGCCGCAAUCUUCUUGGCCGCCUGAAUUUCCUGGAGGGCGUUCUGGGCUUCGGCUCGUGCAUCCUGUGCGCUCUGGCGGGCUUUCGCCAGUUUGGAUUCUUGCGCCUUACAAUCGCGCUCCAAGGACUCAAAUCUCUCGAUCGCACCCUGGAGCUGUUACUGCGCCUCGCCAACCUGAGCCUCGUGCUUCUCGCGCGUGGCGCGUUCCUUGGCCGCUUUGUCCUCGGCCUCGGCUAACGCCUUCUUGAGGGUUGCCACCUCGGUCGUGGCCCCUAAUAACGUUUAUGACACCUUAGUCCGAUGGACUAUUCUUUUUUCCUUUCUUCUUAAAAUGUACCCACAGGUUACUGCAUACCUUGGCCAUCCUCCAGCUGCUUCUUCGUGAGGCCGAGCUCCUCCUCGGCCCGCUCCAGCUUCCGCUUCAGUCCGGAGACCUCCGCAGCAUGAGAGGCGGUAGCCUGCAGCGAUACCUGCUUAUUCACAUAGACAACUUAUGUUAGACUCCUGCGAUAUUUCUUCUUGAUCCCCUGUUCGGCUUUUUUCUUUCCGAACACCAACUAGAGCAUCAGGGGCUACUGUCUAUACUGUGAUACUCUUCCUACAACCACAUUACUUACCUCAAAGCCCGAUAGAAGGCUAGUGCAGGCUUCGGUCAGUCCGCUUUUGACGAACUGAACCUUCUCUAUCACCGUGCCCAUAAGGGCGCGGUGUUCAUCCACAAUAGAGGUGCCUCACAGCGCCUCCAGUAGAUUAUCCGGUGCCUCUGGUUGGACAUGUUGGAAAUAUGCCCUAGAGGCAAUAAUAAAUUAGUUAUUAUUAUAUUUCCAUGUUCAUGAUAAUCGUUUAUUAUCCAUGCUAGAAUUGUACUGAUAGGAAACUCAGAUACAUGUGUGGAUACAUAGACAACACCAUGUCCCUAGUAAGCUUCUAGUUGACUAGCUCGUUGAUCAAUAGAUGGUUACGGUUUCCUGACCAUGGACAUUGGAUGUCGUUGAUAACGGGAUCACAUCAUUAGGAGAAUGAUGUGAUGGACAAGACCCAAUCCUAAGCCUAGCACAAGAUCGUGUAGUUCGUUUGCUCAGAGCUUUUCUAAUGUCAAGUAUCAUUUCCUUAGACCAUGAGAUUGUGCAACUCCCGGAUACCGUAGGAAUGCUUUGGGUGUACCAAACGUCACAAAGUAACUGGGUGGCUAUAAAGGUGCACUACAGGUAUCUCCGAAAGUGUCUGUUGGGUUGGCACGAAUCGAGACUGGGAUUUGUCACUCCGUGUAAACGGAGAGGUAUCUCUGGGCCCACUCGGUAGGACAUCAUCAUAAUGUGCACAAUGUGACCAAGGAGUUGAUCACGGGAUGAUGUGAUUUACGGAACGAGUAAAGAGACUUGCCGGUAACGAGAUUGAACAAGGUAUAGGGAUACCGACGAUCGAAUCUCGGGCAAGUAACAUACCGAUAGACAAAGGGAAUUGUAUACAGGAUUGAUUGAAUCCUCGACAUCGUGGUUCAUCCCAUGAGAUCAUCGAGGAGCAUGUGGGAGCCAACAUGGCUAUCCAGAUCCCGCUGUUGGUUAUUGACCGGAGAGUCAUCUCGGUCAUGUCUGCCUGUCUCCCGAACCCGUAGGGUCUACACACUUAAGGUUCGGUGAUGCUAGGGUUAUAGAGAUAUUAGUAUGCGGUAACCCGAAAGUUGUUCGGAGUCCCGGAUGAGAUCCCGGACGUCACGAGGAGUUCCGGAAUGGUCCGGAGGUAAAGAUUUAUAUAUGGGAAGUCUUAUUUUGGUCGCCGGAAAAGUUUCGCACUUUAUCGGUAUUGUACCGGGAGUGCCGAAAGGGGUCCGGGGGUCCACCAGCCCCAGGGGGCCACAUGGGCUGUAGGGGGUGCGCCUUGGCCUAUAUGGGCCAAGGGCACCAGCCCCAAGAGGCCCAUGCGCCAAGAGAUAAGAAAAAAGGAAGAGUCCUAAAGGGGGAAGGCACCUCCGAGGUGCCUUGGGGGGGGAAGGACUCCUCCCUGGCCGCACCCUUCCUUGGAGGAAGGGCCAAGGCUGCGCCCCCCCUCUCCCUUGGCCCUAUAUAUAGUGGGGGGGGGGAGGGAGGGAAGCAGCAAUCCAAGCCCUGGCGCCUCCCUCUCCCUCCCGUGACACAUCUCCCUCCUCCCGUAGCGCUUGGCGAAGCCCUGUUGGAAUCCCGCUACUUCCACCACCACGCCGUCGUGCUGCUGGAUCUCCAUCAACCUCUCCUCCCCCCUUGCUGGAUCAAGAAGGAGGAGACGUCGCUGCUCCGUACGUGUGUUGAACGCGGAGGUGCCGUCCGUUCGGCGCUAGGAUCAUCGGUGAUUUGGAUCACGACGAGUACGACUCCAUCAACCCCGUUCUCUUGAACGCUUCCGCUCGCGAUCUACAAGGGUAUGUAGAUGCACUCCCCUUCCCCUUGUUGCUAGAUUACUCCAUAGAUUGAUCUUGGUGAUGCGUAGAAAAUUUUGAAUUUCUGCUACGUUCCCCAACAGUGGCAUCAUGAGCUAGGUCUAUGCGUAGUUUCUAUGCACGAGUAGAACACAAAGUAGUUGUGGGCGUCGAUGUUGUCAAUUCUUCUUGCCGCUACUAGUCUUAUCUUGUUUCGGCGGCAUUGUGGGAUGAAGCGGCCCGGACCGACCUUACACGUACGCUUACGUGAGACAGGUUGCACCGACUGACAUGCACUAGUUGCAUAAGGUGGCUAGCGGGUGUCUGUCUCUCCCACUUUAGUCGGAACGGAUUCGAUGAAAAGGUUCCUUAUGAAGGGUAAAUAGAAAUUGGCAUAUCACGUUGUGGUUUUACGUAGGUAAGAAAUGUUCUUGCUAGAAACCUAUACAAGCCACGGAAAAACUUGCAACAACAAUUAGAGGACGUCUAACUUGUUUUUGCAGCAUGUGCUAUGUGAUGUGAUAUGGCCAGAAGAUGUGAUGAAUGAUAUAUGUGAUGUAUGAGAUUGAUCAUAUUCUUGUAAUAGGAAUCACGACUUGCAUGUCGAUGAGUAUGACAACCGGCAGGAGCCAUAGGAGUUGUCUUUAUUUUUUGUAUGACCUGCGUGUCAUUGAAUAACGCCAUGUAAAUUACUUUACUUUAUUGCUAAGCGCGUUAGCCAUAGAAGUAGAAGUAAUCGUUGGCGUGACAACUUCAUGAAGACACAAUGAUGGAGAUCAUGAUGAUGGAGAUCAUGGUGUCAUGCCGGUGACAAAGAUGAUCAUGGUGCCCCGAAGAUGGAGAUCAAAGGAGCAAAAAUGAUAUUGGCCAUAUCAUGUCACUAUUUGAUUGCAUGUGAUGUUUAUCAUGUUAUGCAUCUUAUUUGCUUAGAACGACGGUAGUAAGUAAGAUGAUCCCUCACUAAAAUUUCAAGAGACGUGUUCCCCCUAACUGUGCACCGUUGCGAAGGUUUGUUGUUUCGAAGCACCACGUGAUGAUCGGGUGUGAUAGAUUCUAACGUUCGAAUACAACGGGUGUUGACGAGCCUAGCAUGUACAGACAUGGCCUCGGAACACAUGCGAAACACUUAGGUUGACUUGACGAGCCUAGCAUGUACAGACAUGGCCUCGGAAAACGAGAGACCGAAAGGUCGAACAUGAGUCGUAUAGUAGAUACGAUCAACAUGGAGAUGUUCACCGAUGAUGACUAGUCCGUCUCACGUGAUGAUCGGACAUGGCCUAGUUUGACUCGGAUCAUGUAUCACUUAGAUGACUAGAGGGAUGUCUGUCUGAGUGGGAGUUCAUUAAUCAGAUGAACUCAAUUAUCAUGAACAUAGUCAAAAGGUCUUUGCAAAUUAUGUCAUAGCUUACGCUUUAGUUCUACUACUUAAGAUAUGUUCCUAGAGAAAAUUUAGUUGAAAGUUAAUAGUAGCAAUUAUGCGGACUGGGUCCGUAAACUGAGGAUUGUCCUCAUUGCUGCACAGAAGGCUUAUGUCCUUAAUGCACUGCUCAGUGUGCUGAACCUCAGCGUCGUCUGUAGAUGUUGCGGAACAUCUGACAUACACGUUUUGAUGACUACGUGAUAGUUCAGUGCGUAAUGCUAACGGUUUAGAAUUGUGGCGAAAAGACGGUUUUGAAACGUCGCAGAACAUAUGAGAUGUUCCAAAGACUGAAAUUGGUAUUUCAGACUAAUGCCCACGUCAAGAGGUAUGAGACCUCUGACAAGUUUCUUAAGCCUGCAAACUAAGAGAGAAAAGCUCAAUCGUUGAGCAUGUGCUCAGAUUGUCUGAGUACUACAAUCACUUGAAUCGAGUGGGAGUUAAUUUUCCAGAUGAGAUAGUGAUGGUUCUCCAUAGUCACUGCCACCAAGCUAUCAGAGCUUCGUGAUGAACUAUAACAUAUCAGGGAUAGACAUGAUGAUCCUUGAGCAACUCGCGAUGUUUGACACCGCGAAAGUAGAAAUCAAGAAGGAGCAUCAAUUGUUGAUGGUUAGUAAAACCACUAGUUUCUAGAAGGGCAAGGGCAAAAGGGAUACUUCAUGAAACAGCAAAUCAUUUGCUGCUCUAGUGAAGAAUCCCAAGGUUGAACCCAAACCCGAGACUAAGUGCUUCUGUAAUGAGGGGAACGGUCACUAAAGCAGAACUACCCUAGAUACUUGGUAGAUGAGAAGGCAGGUAAGGUCGACAGAAGUAUAUUGGAUAUACAUUAUAUGAAUGUGUACUUUACUAGUACUCCUAGCAGCACCAGGGUAUUAGAUACCGGUUCGGUUGCUAAGUGUUAGUAACUCGAAAUAAAAGCUGCGAAAUAAACGGAGACUAGCUAAAGGUGAGAUGACGAUAUGUGUUGGAAGUGUUUCCAAGGUUGAUGUGAUCAAGCAUCGCAUGCUCCCUCUACCAUCGAGAUUGGUGUUUGCGUUGAGCAUAAACAUGAUUGGAUUAUGUUUAUCGCAAUACGGUUAUUCAUUUAAGAGAAUAAUGAUUACUCUGUUUAUUUGAAUAAUACCUUCAAUGGUCUUGCACCUAAAAUGAAUCUCGAUCGUAGUGAUACACAUGUUCAUGCCAAAAGAUAUAAGAUAGUAAUGAUAGUUCCACAUACUUGUGGCACUGCCAUUUGAGUCAUAUUGGUAUAGAACGCAUGAAGAAGCUCCAUGUAGAUGGAUCUUUGGACUCAGUCGUUUUUGAAAAGAUUGAGACAUGCGAACCAUGUCUAUUGGUAUGUAUGCAUGAAGAAACUCCAUGCAGAUGGAUCGUUUGGACUCACUUGAUUUUGAAUCACUUGAGACAUGCAAAUCAUACCACAUGGGCAAGAUGAAUGAAAGGCCUCGUUUUCAGUAAUAUGGAACAAGAGAGCAACUUAUUGGAAGUAAUACAUUUUGAUGUAUGCAGUCCAAUGAGUGCUGAGGCAUGCAGUGGAUAUCGUUAUGUUCUUACUUCGUAGAUGAUUUGAGUAGAUGCUGAGUGUAUUUACUUGAUGAAACACAAGUCUGAGUUAUUGAAAGGUUCAAGUAAUUUCAGAGUGAAGUUGAAGAUCGUCAUGACAAGAGGAUAAAAUGUCUGUGAUAUGAUCAUAGAGAUGAGUAUCUGAGUUACGAGUUUGGCACACAAUUAAGACAUUGUGGAAAGUGUUUCACAAUUAAUACCGCCUGGAACACCAUAGUGUGAUGGUGUGUCCGAACAUCAUAACUGCACCCUAUUGGAUAUGGUGCAUACCAUGAUGUCUCUUAUCGAAUUACCACUAUCGUUUAUGGGUUAGGCAUUAGAGACAACCGCAUUCACUUUAAAAGGGGCACCACGCAAUUCCGUUGAGACGACACCGUUUAGAGAAACCUAAGUUGUCAUUUCUUAAAAGUUUGGGGCUGCGAUGCUUAUGUGAAAAAGUUUCAGGCUGAUAAGCUCGAACCCAAAACGGAUAAAUGCAUGUUCAUAGAAUACCCAAAACAGUUGGGUAUACCUCCUAUUUCAGAUCUGGAAGCAAAAGUAAUUGCUUCUAGAAACGAGUCCUUUCUUGAGGAAAAGUUUCUCUCGAAAGAAUUGAGUGGGAGGAUGGCGGAGACUUGAUAAGGUUAUUGAACCGUCACUUCAACUAGUGUGUAGCAGGGCACAGGAAAUUGUUCCUGUGGCACCUACACCAAUUGAAGUGGAAGCUUAUGAUAGUGAUCAUGAAACUUCGGAUCAAGUCACUACCAAACCUCGUAGGACGACGAGGAUGCGUACUACUUCAGAGUAAUGCGUGAUCCUGUCUUGGAAGUCAUGUUGUUGGACAACGAUGAACCUAUGAGCUAUGGAGAAGCGAUGGUGGGCCCAUAUUCCGACGAAUGGCUCGAAGCCAUGAAAUCCGAGAUAAAUGGAUCUUUAAGAAGAAGACGGACAUGGACGGUAAUGUUAUCGUCUAUGAAGCUCGACUUGUGGCAAAGAGUAUUUCCACAAGUUCAAGGAGUUGACUACGAUGAGAUUUUCUCAUCCGUAGCGAUGCUUAAGUCCAUUGGAAUCAUGUUAGCAUUAGCUGCAUUUAUGAAAUCUGGCAGAUGGAUGUCAAAACAAGUUUCCUUACCAGUUUUCGUAAGGAAAGGUUGUAUGUGAUACAAUCAGAAAGGUUUUGUCGAUCCUAAGGAUGCUAAUAGGUAUGCUAGCUCCAGCGAUCCUUCCAUGGACUAGAGCAAGCAUCUCGGAGUCAGAAUAUACGCUUUGAUGGAGUGAUCAAAGUUUUUGGGUUUAUACAAAGUUUGUUAGAAACUUGUAUUUACAAUAAAGUGAGUGGGAGCGCUACAACAUUUCUGAUAAGUAUAUGUGAAUGACAUAUUGUUGAUCCGAAAUGAUGUAAAAUUUCUGGAAAGCAUAAGGGUUGUUUGAAAGGAGUUUUUCAAAGGAAGACCUGGAUAAAGCUGCUUACAUAAUGGGCAUCAAGAUCUAUAGAGAUAGAUCAAGACGCCUGAUGAUACUUUCAAAGAACGCACACCUUGACGUGAUUUUGAAAGAGUUCAAAAUAGAUCAGCAAAGAAGGAGUUCUUGGCUGUGUUACAAGGUGUGAGUAUUGAGUAAGACUCAAGACCUGACCACAGCAGAAGAGAGAGAAAGGACGAAGGCCGUCCCCUAUGCUUCAGACGUAGGCUCUAUAGUAUGCUAUGCUGUGUACCGCACAUGUAGUGUGCCUUGCCAUGAGUUGGUCAAGGGGUACAAUAGUGAUCCGGGAAUGGAUCACAUGACAGCGGUCGAACUUAUCCUUAGUAUCUAGUGGACUAAGGAUUUUCUCGAUUAUGGAGGUGAAAAGGAGUUCGUCGUAAAGGGUUACGUCGAUGCAAACUUUGACACUAAUCCGGAUGACUCUGAGUAGUAAACCGGAUUCGUAUAGUAGAGCAGUUAUUUGAAAUGGCUCCAAGUAGCGCGUGGUAGCAUCCACAAGAUGACAUAGAUAUUCGUAAAGCACACACGGAUCUGAAAGGUUCAGACCCGUUGACUAAUAACCUCUCUCACAAGCAUAACAUGAUCAAACCAGAACUCAUUGAGUGUUAAUCACAUAGUGAUGUGAACUAGAUUGUUGACUCUAGUAAACUCUUUGGAUGUUAGUCACAUGGUGAUGUGACCUAUGAGUGUUAAUCACAUGGUGAUGUGGACUAGAUUAUUGACUCUAGUGCAAGUGGGAGACUGUUGGAAAUAUGCCCUAGAGGCAAUAAUAAAUUGGUUAUUAUUAUAUUUCCUUGUUCAUGAUAAUCGUUUAUUAUCCAUGCUAGAAUUGUACUGAUAGGAAACUCGGAUACAUGUGUGGAUACAUAGACAACACCAUGUCCCUAGUAAGCCUCUAGUUGACUAGCUCGUUGAUCAAUAGAUGGUUACGGUUUCCUGACCAUGGACAUUGAAUGUCGUUGAUAACGGGAUCACAUCAUUAGGAGAAUGAUGUGAUGGAAAAGACCCAAUCCUAAGCCUAGCACAAGAUCGUGUAGUUCGUUUGCUCAGAGCUUUUCUAAUGUCAAGUAUCAUUUCCUUAGACCAUGAGAUUGUGCAACUCCCGGAUACCGUAGGAAUGCUUUGGGUGUACCAAACGUCAUAACGUAACUGGGUGGCUAUAAAGGUGCACUACAGGUAUCUCCGAAAGUGUCUGUUGGGUUGGCACGAAUCGAGACUGGGAUUUGUCACUCCGUGUAAACGGAGAGGUAUCUCUGGGCCCACUCGGUAGGACAUCAUCAUAAUGUGCACAAUGUGACCAAGGAGUUGAUCACGGGAUGAUGUGAGUUACGGAACGAGUAAAGAGACUUGCCGGUAACGAGAUUGAACAAGGUAUAGGGAUACCGACGAUCGAAUCUCGGGCAAGUAACAUACCGAUAGACAAAGGGAAUUGUAUACAGGGUUGAUUGAAUCCUCGACAUCGUGGUUCAUCCCAUGAGAUCAUCGAGGAGCAUGUGGGAGCCAACAUGGGUAUCCAGAUCCCGCUGUUGGUUAUUGACCGGAGAGUCGUCUCGGUCAUGUCUGCCUGUCUCCCGAACCCGUAGGGUCUACACACUUAAGGUUCGGUGACGCUAGGGUUAUAGAGAUAUUAGUAUGCGGUAACCCGAAAGUUGUUCGGAGUCCCGGAUGAGAUCCCGGACAUCACGAGGAGUUCCGGAAUGGUCCGGAGGUAAAGAUUUAUAUAUGGGAAGUCUUAUUUUGGUCGCCGGAAAAGUUUCGCACUUUAUCGGUAUUGUACCGGGAGUGCCGAAAGGGGUCCGGGGAUCCACCAGCCCCGGGGGGCCACAUGGGCUGUAGGGGGUGCGCCUUGGCCUAUAUGGGCCAAGGGNNNNNNNNNNNNNNNNNNNNNNNNNNNNNNNNGGAGGACUCCUCCCUGGCCGCACCCUUCCUUGGAGGAAGGGCCAAGGCUGCGCCCCCCCUCUCCCUUGGCCCUAUAUAUAGUGGGGGGGAGGGAGGGCAGCAACAAUCCAAGCCCUGGCGCCUCCCUCUCCCUCCCGUGACACAUCUCCCUCCUCCUGUAGCGCUUGGCGAAGCCCUGUUGGAAUCCCGCUACUUCCACCACCACGCCGUCGUGCUGCUGGAUCUCCAUCAACCUCUCGUCCCCCCUUGCUGGAUCAAGGAGGAGACUUCGCUGCUCCAUACGUGUGUUGAACGCGGAGGUGCCGUCCGUUCGGCGCUAGGAUCAUCGGUGAUUUGGAUCACGACGAGUACGACUCCAUCAACCCCGUUCUCUUGAACGCUUCCGCUCGCGAUCUACAAGGGUAUGUAGAUGCACUCCCCUUCCCCUCGUUGCUAGAUUACUCCAUAGAUUGAUCUUGGUGAUGCGUAGAAAAUUUUGAAUUUCUGCUACGUUCCCCAACAGGACAGAGGUCACCGGCGGAACAGGCACGUCCCCUCCUUUUGGGGAAUGCCGUUUGCUGGACUCCGGAGCCGCAUAUAUCUCCGGAAUGGUAUCCGGCUCAGGUCCGAAGAGAACUCGGCCCCCGUCACCAGUCCCCAUAGUGGCUUUUUCUCCCAUGUGUCCGGCGACUGAGGAAUCGCCCUGGGGCGUCACCCCAACGAUUUUCGGAAGCUCCCCCCGGUCGGGGAAGGUCUUUUGCGACACCACCUCGUCGUCACCCUUGAGAGAAACGGAAUGCGCAGGUGGCGGCGACAUGCUAGCCAUCUCCUUUUAGUCCAGCGAUCCCUCUGUUGAGGAUCGCGGGGAGCCAUCGCGUGCCGGACUGCAAUGACAAGGUUUGAGAUAUAUCAAUAUUACAAAACCAGACAUUUUCGGAUUCUGGUACUUACGAGGCGGCCCGAGGCUUGGUCCGGCGAGGUUGCUCCGGACUACUAUCAACAUCCCACGCGAGGUUAUCCGCGAGGGAGCCUUUAACCCUCUUAGACACUUUCGCCUCCAGGUUCAUGGGGCCGCUCUCUUCUUCCUCCCCACUUUAGGUGGGGAGUCAUUUUCUUCUUCCUCUUCGUCGUCGUCGUCAGCAGAUGAAGAGGAAGUCUCGCUUUCGGACGUCAUGUCCGGAGCGCCUUUUUGGCGAGGGCCCUUCUUGGCCCCUUUGGAUGCCUUCUUGGCCGUCUUCUCUGGCACCUCAUAAGGUGCAGGGAAAAGCAUUUUCGUCAGUAAUGGGAAUUCUUGGUCUUUGGGCAGCGGAGCCAGACAGUUAAUCUCCUCUGCUACCUUGAUCCAGGCCUGAAAACAGGGGUAGGAGAGCUUAGGUUUUUUCUCAAAAUAUGCUAGUAGAGGGUACUCCUUGAAAACAUUAAAGGAACUUACCGAGUUAGCCUGGCGUUUUAAGCUAAGCCCGCAAUCUUCGGUCAUGGGCGGUGGCGUCUCGCCGGCCUUGAAGAGCACUUUCCAGAUUUCUUCGUGCCUCGUGCCGAAGAGCUCUAGCAGCGUCUGGUGCUUGGCCGGAUCGUACUCCCAUAGAUAGCAAGUCUGGCAUUGGCACGGAAGGACCCGACGAAUGAGCAUGACCUGGACCACGUUGACGAGCUUGAUCUUUGUGUCUAUCAUAUUCUGGACGCACGUAUGGAGCCCAGACAGCUCGUCCAAGGGACCCCAGUUUAGGCCCCUCUCUUGCCAGGAGGUGAGCCGCACGGGAUUCCGGAUCGGAAUUCGGGGGUCGCCGCCCAGUUGGCGUCGCGCGGCUCGGUGAUAUAGAACCACCCCGAUUGCCACCCCUUCACCGUCUCUGUGAAUGUGCCUUCGGGCCCGGUAACGUUGGGCAUCUUGCCCAGCAUGGCGCCUCCGCACUCUGCUUGUUGGCCGCUCACCACCUUUGGCUUCACAUUGAAGGUCUUCAGCCAUAGGCCGAAAUGAGGCGGGAUUUGGAGAAAGGCCUCGCACACGACAAUGAAUGGCGUGAUAUUGAGAAUGAAGUUAGGGGUUAGGUCAUGAAAGUCUAGCCCGUAGUAAAACAUCAGUCCACGAACGAAGGGGUUAAGAGGGAAGCCCGGCCCGCGGACGAAAUGUGUAAGAAACACAACCCUCUCAUGGGGCUCUGGAGUAGGGAUGAUCUGUCCCUUGGCCGGGAGUCUGUGAGCUAUCUCCUUGGCCAGAUAUCCGGCCUCCUGGAGCUCUUUAAUAUCGCUCUUCUUGACGGAGGAGGCCAUCCACUUGCCUCCAGCUCCAGAUCCGGACAUCUUGGGGGUACUUUCUCGGACGAGGGAAAAGCUAAAGACUUGGGCGCUGGAGCUCAGGGACGGAAGGACUGAGGAGGAACCGAGGUGUGGGUGAAGAAAGGGAAUUCUCAUCCCCUUAUAAAGACCAUGAAUAUCAAGCGCCUCCUCACUCGCCUUAAACUCGCCUAUUCCCUAGGGGCCGUGCGAACGACACGGUUGGGUCACCCACGCCCGCAUUGAUGAGAAUCCCGCAAUAAGGGGACACGAUCUCUGCUUCGACAGGACGUGCCAAUGGCAACCGCGUCUCGAAACAUGGAGCGGCAAACGAAAAACGGUUCGAAAUUGUGACCGGUCAGGCGUGAUGUCACGCUGCAAAAAAGUUGUCAGCGGAUGGAACUCGUGUAAAAAUAUAUUCUCUCUGCGGUUGUGUAUGGUGUGUGACAGGUCCGGAUACUAUCAUUGCAUCCGAAGACUAUCUUGGAGUUCGUAAAAAGGGGAAUCCGCCUUGCAAUGCCGAAGACAAUCUGUGCGCCGGACUCCUCGUCAUUGAAGCCAGGUUCAGGGGCUACUGAGGGAGUCCUGGACUAAGGGGUCCCCGGGCGUCCGGCCCGUUAUCCAUGGGCCAGACUGAUGGGCUGUGAAGACAUGAAGGCCGAAGACUGUACCCGUGUCCGGAUUGGACUCUACUUGGCGUGGAAGGCAAGCUUCGCGACCGACUAUGAAGAUUCCUUCUUAUGUAACCGACUCUAUGUAACCCUAGAUUCCCCUCCGGUGUUUAUAUAAACCGGAGGGGUUAGUCCGGAAAGGAUAUUCAUUACCAUAGUCAUAUAGGCUAGACUUCUAGGGUUUAGCCAUUACGAUCUCGCGGUAGAUCAGCUCUUGUAAUACUCAUAUUCAUCAAGAUUAAUCAAGCAGGAAGUAGGGUAUUACCUCCAUAGAGAGGGCCCGAACCUGGGUAAACAUCGUGUCCCCGUCUCCUGUUACCAUCGACCCUAGACGCAUAGUUCGGGACCCCCUACCCGAGAUCCGCCGGUUUUGACACUGAUAACCCACAAGUAUAGGGGAUCGCAACAGUUUUCGAGGGUAGAGUAUUCAACCCAAAUUUAUUGAUUCAACACAAGGGGAGCCAAAGAAUAUUCUCAAGUAUUAGCAGUUGAGUUCUCAAUUCAACCACACCUGGAUAACUUAAGAUCUGCAGCAAAGUGUUUAGUAGCAAAGUAAUAUGAUAGUAGUGGUAACGGUAACAAAGGUAACAGUAGCAAAAGUAAUAUUUUUGGUGUUUUGUAGUGAUUGUAACAGUAACAAAGGAAAAGUAAAUAAGCGAAGAACAAUAUGUGAAAAGCUCGUAGGCAUUGGAUCGGUGAUGGAGAAUUAUGCCGGAUGCGGUUCAUCAUGUAACAACCAUAACAUAGGGUGACACAGAACCAGCUCCAAUUCAUCAAUAUAAUGUAGGCAUGUAUUCCGAAUAUAGUCAUACGUGCUUAUGGAAAAGAACUUGCAUGGCAUCUUUUGUCCUACCCUCCCGUGGCAGCGGGGUCCUAAUGGAAACUAAGGGAUAUUAAGGCCUCCUUUUAAUAGAGUACCAGACCAAAGCAUUAACACAUAGUGAAUACAUGAACUCCUCAAACUAUGGUCAUCACCGGGAGUGGUCCCGAUUAUUGUCACUUCGGGGUUGCCGGAUCAUAACACAUAGUAGGUGACUAUAGACUUGCAAGAUAGGAUCAAGAACUCACAUAUAUUCAUGAAAACAUAAUAGGUUCAGAUCUGAAAUCAUGGCACUCGGGCCCUAGUGACAAGCAUUAAGCAUAGCAAAGUCAUAGCAACAUCAAUCUCAGAACAUAGUGGAUACUAGGGAUCAAACCCUAACAAAACUAACUCGAUUACAUGAUAGAUCUCAUCCAACCCAUCACCGUCCAGCAAGCCUAUGAUGGAAUUACUCACGCACGGCGGUGAGCAUCAUGAAAUUGGUAAUGGAGGAUGGUUGAUGAUGACGACGGUGACGGAUUCCCCUCUCCGGAGCCCCGAACGGACUCCAGAUCAGCCCUCCUAAGAGGUUUUAGGGCUUGGCGGCGGCUCCGUAUCGUGAAACGCGAUGAAUCCUUUUCUCUGAUUUUUUUCUCCCUGAAAGUGAAUAUAUGGAGUUGGAGUUGAGGUCGGUGGAGCAUCAGGGGGCCCACAAGGCAGGGGGGCGCGCCCCCACCCUCGUGGACAGGGUGUGGGCCCCCUGACAUGCAUUUUUCUUCCAGUAUUUUUAUUAUUUUCCAAAUAGAUGUUCCGUGGAGUUUCAGGUCAUUCCGAGAACUUUUGUUUCUGCACAUAAAUAACACCAUGAAAAGUCUGCUGAAAACAGCGUCAGUCCGGGUUAGUUCCAUUCAAAUCAUGCAAGUUAGAGUCCAAAACAAGGGCAAAAGUGUUUGGAAAAGUAGAUACAACGAAGACGUAUCAGACACCGACAACCACCAAGUUGGGGUCGUUGCGGACCCAGGCCGACGCCUCGUCCGACUUGGCGAACUUGGAGCAGCGGGCCGCGUUGCGCCGCUCUUGUCGCACCACCUAGCUCACCGUCCUGUCCUCAGUGAAGACGAUGGCCCGCGACGAAGAGGACCCGCCGCCACCACUGAGGUAGUGGAGGAUGAGUCUGCGUGCCUUCGGGAUCACGAGCGAUAGCUCCUCCUGGCUGUGCAAGUUGCGGCAUGACGGGGACGCCAGCUCCUGCUUGACAUAGGGGAGAGAUGACAUCGGCUCCUACUUGACGCGGAAGCGCAUCGGGGAGUGCAGCUCCUGCUUCAUGGCACGUGGUACACGACCGAGAGGCGAGGCAUGCCUCCUACUUCACGCGACGGAGAAGCAACGCCGGCUCCUGCUUGACGUGGAAGCGUGGCGGAGAGUGCGGCUCCUCCUUGAUGGCGCGCGACUGAGAGCGCGGCGCCGGACCUCGCUCACGGACCGACCACUCCGCCAGCAACUCGAUCUGAUGGAUGAACUCCUCGUCCGUCACUACAGCCUCUCGGAGGCGCGACUGCUGAUAGAGCAGCUGCUACCGCGGCGGCGGCUGGUCCUCCUCGUCGUCGGAGGAAAUCACCCGGAUAAUCCAGUACAAAGGCAACAUGUUGUCGAUGCAAUGCAGAUGAUGCAUAAAUAAUAAUAAUAAUAAUAAUAGGUGAAUAUAAUAAUUAGUAUUACUCUGGGCAAUUACACAUGGGUGAUGUCAUGGGUGGCAUGACAUGACAUGGGUGGUUGCAUGAGCGACAUGGGAGGAUGCAUGAGAGGAUACAUGAUGAGCAUGAUGGGAGGUGGCUUGGGUUUCAGGUGAGGCGGCUUUUGGAGGUACGAUGAAUGCCGUGGGAGGUGACUUUGGACAUAUGGAUGGUGCCAUAAAUGGCAUGGGAGGAUGGGUGACGACAUGAAUGGCAUAGAGCACGUCAAUGAAGUAAAAGAAGGCAAUGGUGAGCAUGAAGCCAAUGGCGAGGAGAAAGAAAGCACGAGUGGCAAGGGGGUUGAGAGACUAUGCAUAUUUUGUUUGUGAUGGUCAUGCACUCUUGUUUGUGUUGGUCAUGUACUAUGUUUGUGAUUUUACAUCUGAACUUGAUAUGCGGAUUUGAAGUUGAAUUCAUAUGUUAUUGCUUUAUGUGUGUAGUGAUCUUGCAUAGUUGUGGUGCAAAAAUUUGUAUGUUAAAUUUAGCUAAAUCCAUAGUUUAUUCAAAUACAUACGUAAAACAACUAGUGGUGUGGUUGUCGUGCAGUGCCCUAUUUCAGGGCAACUGUUGGAGCAGCCAUGCCCUAUUUGGUGCUCCUAUUAUAGGGUAGCUGUUGGAGAUGGCAAUAUGUUGUGCCGAAAAAAGCGCUUUUGGGUACCCGAAAUUUUAAUUCGAGCCCAAAACGAUGCCUAAAAUAGGACAACUAUUGAACAUGCUCUUACGCUAGUAAGUGAGGAUAAAAGAUUUUAGUUUCCUAAAUACUUUUUAUCCAAAUAACCCCUUAGAGCAUCUCCAACAUUUGCCCAAUUUUAGGGCACCAAAAAGCGGUUGGAGUAAAUUUUAAAGCACGGAAAAGUGUUUUUUUUGCACGAGAAAGCAUCGUCUCCAACAACCACCUUAAAAUACGUCACUCCUAUACUGAACCUAUUGUCGACUUUGUCUAAAGUCUAAACUGGAUUUUUAACUCUCAAAACUGAAGCAUAGUGAAGUCACACUCCUCUCGACGAUAAUUCGGCUGGUGCGCGCCUCACGGGACCUCCGCUCGGUACAAGCUCCAUCUUCUGUUGCCUUCGCUCGGCCAAGCCCUAGCAACAGACAGUGUCCCCGCGGUAGUUGAAGAAGGAGGCGAGGCGCACCACACGCCUUCUGUGGUCAUUCACCCGUUCUAUCCAAAGAUGGGGGAGGAGAAGGAAGGGGUAGAGAUGGGUAGUGACGCCAGUGAUGUGGGAGGGCUGCCGGGACUGCGAGGAGUGGACGUAGUAGCAGCCGCCUGAGCGGCCUUGCCACCGCCCUAUGGGGACCACCAGUAGAGACGGUGUGGGGUCGCUGGCGAGUGCUGCGAGGUAAGCGGUGUCCUCUGAGGCUCCUGUCGGUGUCAAAACCGGCGGAUCUCGGGUAGGGGGUCCCGAACUAUGCGUCUAAGGUCGAUGGUAACAGGAGACAGGGGACACGAUGUUUACCCAGGUUCGGGCCCUCUUGAUGGAGGUAAUACCCUACUUCCUACUUGAUUGAUCUUGAUGAAUAUGAGGAUUACAAGAGUUGAUCUACCACGAGAUCGUAAUGGCUAAACCCUAGAUGUCUAGCAUGUAUGAUUAUGAUUCGCCCUACGGACAAACCCCUUCGGUUUAUAUAGACACCGGAGGGGACUAGGGUUGUACAAAGUCGGUUACAGAGAAAGGAAUCUUCAUAUCCGAACGCCAAGCCUGCCAUCCACGCAAAAGAGAGUCCUAUCCGGACACGGGAGAGAGUCUUCUAUCUUGUACCUUCACGGCCCAUCAGUCCAGCCCACGUCACAUAGGCGGACGCCCGAGGACCCCUUAAUCCAGGACUCCCUCAGUAGCCCCUGAACCAGGCUUCAAUGACGAUGUGUCUGGCGCGCAGAUUGUCUUCGGCAUUGCAAGGCGGGUUCCUCCUCCGAAUACUCCAAAGCAGCUCUUGAACACAGAGAGCGUGCCCGGCUCUGUAAAACAAACACCACACCCACGCGUAGAGAGUAUAAAUAUUUCACGAGUCCAAUCCACUGACAACUUUUGUAGCGUGACAUCACGUCGCCGCCCCGUCAUUAUUUCGAACCAUUUUUUAGCCUUCCGCUCCAUGUUUCAAGAUGCGGUUUUAUCGGCACGUCUUGUCGAAGCAGAGAUCGUGUCCCCUUAUUGCGGGAUCUUCAUCAAUACGGGCGUGGGUAAUCCAACCGCUCCGUUGGCACGAUUCCUUGGGAAUAGGCAAGUUUCAAGGCUUAUGAGGAGGCGUUCGAUAUUCAUCGCCUUUAUAAAGGGGCACAGACCCAUCUUUUUCUUCCUCAACUUUCCCAACCCCGAGCUCCAGCACCCAGGUUUCAACUUAAUCGAUCCAAGACUCCCAGUCAUGUCCGGACCCAGCCUCCAAGGCCGGUGGGUGGCCUCCUCUGUCACAGAGGAGGAUAUCGCGAAGCUCCGAGCGGCAAGGUACCUGACCGCAGAAAUCCUCCACAGGCUUCCUGCUAAGGGGCAGAUUAUUCCUACACCCAGAUCUGGCGAGAGGGUCGUAUUCAUCUCCCACUUCCUUCGGGGGCUAGGGUUCGCUCUCCACCCCUUCGUUCGUGGCCUCAUGUUUUAUUAUGGGCUAGAUUGUCAUGAUCUAGCUCCGGACUCCUUUCUUCACAUCUCGGCGUUCAUCGUCAUGUGCGAGGCCUUUUUCCGCAUUCCCCCACACUUUGGCUUAUGGCUCAAGGCCUUUAAUGUGAAACCGAAGGUAGUCGACGGGGAGCAAGCGGAGUGUGGCGGUGCUAUGGUGAGCAAGCUCGCCAAUACUCCUUGGCCAAAGGGCUCCUUCACAGAAACUUCCAACCUAUGCCAGCGGGAGUGGUUUUACAUCACUGAACCCCGCGGUACCAAGUGGGCAGCUACACCUGCGUUUCGAUCAGGCCCUCCGUUACGACUCACAUCAUGGAUUAACAAGGGGCUGGACUGGGGACCAAUUGAUGAAGUGCAGACGCUACAAAGCCGUAUCCGGAGUCUCCUUGAAAAGGACACCGGCCUCAUCAAUGUGAUCCAGGUAAUGCUAGUCCGCCGGGUCCUAUCGUGCCAGCGACGGCCUCUCCGCCUGUGGGAGUUCAAUCCGGAAGGACCAUGGACCCUUCAACACUUCUUUGGCACAACGCACAGAGGGAUGUGGAAGUUAUUCUUCAGGACCCGAAAACAGUGGCCGGAUACAACCGAGGACAUCGGCCUCGACUGCAACCAUCCAAAUACCUCGGUAAGCACUCGACUCCUGAACACAGCUUAGUUAAUUAUCCCGUAACAAUAUACUGAGAAACCUGUCUCCGAUCAGGGCUGGAUAAAGAAGGCGGAAUGAAUUAGGUGUUCGGCUCCACUCCCCAAAGACUCAGCUGAUCCUAUGUUGACAAGGAUGCUCGCCCCGGCACUGUAUCAAGUGCCGGUGAAGGAGGCCCAGGAGGAGAGCAGAAAGGCCAAAGGUGGCCUCCACUCGAAAGGUACACCGGACGCUAUGUCCGGGGAGACUGGAACUCCCUCUUAUGAAGACGAAGGGGAAGAAGAAGCUGAUAUCACUUCUCCCCAUGGGAAGAAAAGGACUGCCUCUGAAGAUCUGGAGGUGGAGGAUCCCAAGAGAGGGAAGGUGUCCCUGUCAGCCGGUUCGGAAGACACUGCUGCACAGUUCCUCCGUAAGGACAAGGCCUUAGCCGAAUCGUAAGUGAACAAGGGUGUUUUAGACAUAUCCCGUUCUUUUCCGGUUACAAGGGUAACAUCUUAAAUAUAUGUUUGCAGUCCGGCCCGCAGUCUUCUCCUCGGGUGACCUGCUUCCGGAGAUGAUGGAAAGCGAGACGCCUCCACAUGCUUCCUCGCCCUUUAGGGCGGACGACUUCGAGGUGUCAUCCCGGAGGGUCUCCCUCGAUCACCAAGUGGCGCGGGGGGCAAUAAAGGCAGCGCCCAAAGGUGAGACUUCGGUCGUCAAGGGUCCGGGGAGUGCAGCCCCUACGGGGACCGACAAUAAAGGCCCCGAACUAUCCGAUUUACAGCCGAAAGCGACUCUAGGGUCGAGUAAACAUAUCCCUCCGAAGGGAGUUCGUACUCCUGGAGGCGCUUCCAGGAGUCCAGAGGUGCCGGAUACAUUGGUGAGCAUGUUGCAGAAUGCGUCCAUCUCAGAGGAACAUCAUACCUUAAUGGGUAUGGUAGUUGAGAGGAUUCUGUCCGCAAGAAGCGGAUUGAAUGAAGCCUUCACGGGCCUACUAAGAGGCUUUGAGGUAUGCAAUGUAAUAUCUUGACUACUCUUUACAUGCAAAAUAUGCCUGUGUAUAGAUAGUAGCCCCUGAGACUCUGGUCGGCUUCCACAGGGAGGCGAUCAGAGGAUCCAAAGAUAUGCUCAGGAAAUAACAUGAAUAAUAAAAAAACAGGCUGUUACGUCAAUGACGACUGCCUCCGCUACGGAAGUUGCAGAUUUAAAGCAAAAACUUGAGUCAGCGGAUGAGGACAUUACUCUUAUUGACAGGCGGCUCGACGAGGCACAAGGUAUGUUUUGGGGCAGUCAGCUUAUGCAUGUAUAAUAAUAUAAGCACGAAGCUGAAAAUUUUUAACUGGGACAUGCAUAAUUGCAGAUGGUGCUGCUGCGGUUGAGACCCUUCGGGCUGAACUUGCCCGGGCCAAGGAGCAAGCCAGAGUGAGCAAUGCGGCUGCCAAAAAAGGCAGCUGCUGAUUUAAAGGCCAAACAGGCCACUCGGCGCCAGUGCGAGGAGAGAAUAUCUACCAUGGCGCGAGAGCUAAAGGAUGCCACUUGAUGUCUACUACGCAACCUUCUUCUUAUAGACGUUGUUGGGCCUCCAAGUGCAGAGGUUUGUAGGACAGUAGCAAAUUUCCCUCAAGUGGACGACAUAAGAUUUAUCAAUCCGUGGGAGGCGUAGGAUAAAGAUGGUCUCUCUCAAACAACCCUGCAACCAAAUAACAAAGAGUCUCUUGUGUCCCCAACACACCCAAUACAAUGGUAAAUUGUAUAGGAGCACUAGUUCGGCGAAGAGAUGGUGAUACAAGUGCAAUAGGGAUGGUAGAUAUAGGUUUUUGUAAUCUGAAAAUAUAAAAACAGCAAGGUAACUAAUGAUAAAAGUGAGCACAAACGGUAUUGCAAUGCGUUGAAACAAGGCCUAGGGUUCAUACUUUCACUAGUGCAAGUCUCUCAACAAUAAUAACAUAAUUGGGUCGUAUAACUAUCCCCCAACAUGCAACAAAGAGUCACUCCAAAGUCACAAAUAGCGGAGAACAAAUGAAGAGAUUAUGGUAGGGUACGAAACCACCUCAAAGUUAUUCUUUCUGAUCGAUCUAUUCAAGAGUCCGUAGUAAAAUAACACGAAGUUAUUCUUUCCGUUUGAUCUAUCAUAGAGUUCGUACUAGAAUAACACCUUAAGGCACAAAUCAACCAAAACCCUAAUGUCACCUAGAUACUCCAAUGUCACCUCAAGUAUCCGUGGGUAUGAUUAUACGAUAUGCAUCACACAAUCUCAAAUUCAUCUAUUCAAGCCAACACAAAGUACUCAAAGAGUGCCCCAAAGUUUCUACCGGAGAGUCAAGAUGAAAACGUGUGCCAACCCCUAUGCAUAAGUUCACGAAGUCACGGAACCCGCAAGUUGAUCACCAAAAAAUACAUCAAGUAGAUCACGUGAUAUCCCAUUGUCACCACAGAUAAGCACAUGCAAGACAUACAUCAAGUGUUCUCAAAUCCUUAAAGACUCAAUCCGAUAAGAUAACUUCAAAGGGAAAACUCAACCCAUUACAAGAGAGUAGAGGGGGAGAAACAUCAUAAGAUCCAACUAUAAUAGCAAAGCUCGCGCUACAUCAAGAUCGUACCACCUCAAGAACACGAGAGAGAGAGAUCAAACACAUAGCUACUGGUACAUACCCUCAGCCCCGAGGGUGAACUACUCCCUCCUCGUCAUGGAGAGCGCCGGGAUGAUGAAGAUGGACACCGGUGAGGGAUCCCCCUCCGGCAGGGUGCCGGAACAGGGUCCCGAUUGGUUUUUGGUGGCUACAGAGGCUUGCGGCGGCGGAACUCCCGAUCUAGGUUAUGUUCUGGGGGUUUCUGUAUAUAUAAGAGGUUUUGGCGUCGAGAACAAGUCAGGGGGUCUCCGGGCUGUCCACGAUGUAGGGAGGCACGCCCAGGGGGGUGGGCGCGCCCCCCACCCUCGUGGGCUGCCCGAGACUCUUCUGGCCCAACUCUUUUACUCCAUGGCCUUCUUCUGGUCCAAAAAUAAGCUCCGUCAAGUUUCAGGUCAAUUGGACUCCGUUUGGUUUUUCUUUUCUGCGAUACUCAAAAACAAGGAAAAAACAGAAACUGGCACUAGGCUCUAGGUUAAUAGGUUAGUCCCAAAAAUCAUAUAAAUUAGCUUAUAAAUGCAUAUAAAACAUCCUAGAUGGAUAAUAUAAUAGCAUGGAACAAUAAAAAAUUAUAGAUACGUUGGAGACAUAUCAAGCAUCGCCAAGCUUAAUUCCUGCUCGUCCUCGAGUAGGUAAAUGAUAAAAACAACAUUUUUGAUGUGGAAUGCUACCUAACAUAAUCAUCAAUAUAAUCUUCUUUAUUGUGGCAAGAAUAUUCAGAUCCAUAAGAUUCAAGACAAAAGUUUAAUAUUGACACAAAAAUAAUAAUACUUCAAGCAUACUAACCAAGCAAUUAUGUCUUAUCAAAAUAACAUAGCCAAAGAAAGCUUAUCCCUACAAAAUCAUAUAGUUUGGCCAUGCUUCAUUUUCGUCACACAAAAUGCUCCCAUCACGCACAACCCCGAUGACAAGCCGAGCAAUUGGUUCAUACUUUUUAACGCGCUUCAGCCUUUUCAACCCUCAUGCAAUACAUGAGCGCAAUGGGUGGAAUAGAGUAUGAUGAUAGGGGUUAUGUGAGAAGACAAAAAAGAAGAAAGUCUCACAUUGACGCGGCUAAUCAACGGGCUAUGGAGAUGCCCAUCAAUUGAUGUCAAUGCGAGGAGCAGGGAUUGCCAUGCAACGGAUGCACUAGAGCUAUAAAUAUAUGAAAGCUCAUCAAAAGAAACUAAGUGGGUGUGCAUCCAACUUGCUUGCUCACGAAGACCUAGGGCAUUUUGAGGAAGCCCAUCAUUGGAAUAUACAAGCCAAGUUCUAUAAUGAAAAAUUCCCACUAGUAUAUGAAAGUGACAAAAUAAGAGACUCUCUAUCAUGAAGAUCAUGGUGCUACUUUGAAGCACAAGUGUGGAAAAAUGAUAGUAACAUUGUCCCUUCUCUCUUUUUCUCUCAUUUUUUUUGUUUUUUUAUUGGGCCUUCUCUCUUUUCUUCUUUUUCUUUUUUGGCCUCCUUUUUUUUCUUUUUUUUUUCUUUCGUCCGGAGUCUCAUCCCGACUUGUGGUGGAAUCAUAGUCUCCAUCAUCCUUUCCUCACAUGGGACAAUGCUCUAAUAAUGAUGAUCAUCACACUUUUAUUUACUUACAACUCAAUAAUUACAACUCGAUAGUUAGAACAAAAUAUGACUCUAUGUGAAUGCCUCCGGCGGUGCACCGGGAUAUGCAAUGAAUCAAGAGUGACAUGUAUGAAAAAUUAGCAUGGUGGCUUUGCCACAAAUACGAUGUCAACUACAUGAUCAUACAAGGCAAUAUGACAGUGAUGAUGCGUGUCAUAAUAAACGGAACGGUGGAAAGUUGCAUGGCAAUAUAUCUCGGAAUGGCUAUGGAAAUGCCAUAAUAGGUAGGUAUGGUGGCUGUUUUGAGGAAGAUAUAAGGAGGUUUAUGUGUGAUAGAGCGUAUCAUAUCACGGGGUUUGGAUGCACCGGCGAAGUUUGCACCAACUCUCAAGGUGAGAAAGGGCAAUGCACGGUACUGAAGAGGCUUGCAAUGAUGGAAGGGUGAAAGUGCGUAAUAUCCAUGGACUCACAUUAGUCAUAAAGAACUCAUAUACUUAUUGCAAAAGUUUAUUAGCCCUCGAAGCAAAGUACUAUUACGCAUUCCCCUAGGGGGAUAGAUUGGUAGGAAAAGACCAUCGCUCGUCCCCGACCGCCACUCAUAAGGAAAGCAAUCAAAGAACACUCCAUGCUUCAAAUUUGUCACACAACGUUUACCAUACGUGCAUGCUACGGGACUUGCCAACCUCAACACAAGUAUUUCUCAAUUUCAUAAUUACCCAACUAGCACGACUCUAAUAUCACCACCUUUAUAUCUCAAAACAACUAUCAAGUAUCAAACUUCUCUUAGUAUUCAAUGCACUUUAUAUGAAAGUUUUUAUUAUAUCCUUCUUGGAUGCCCAUCAUAUUAGGACUAAUUUCAUAACCAAAGCAAAUUAUCAUGCUAUUUAGGACUCUCAAAAUUAUAUAAGUGAAGCAUGAGAGUUCAUCUAUUUCUUCAAAAUAAAACCACCGCCGUGCUCUAAAAGGAUAUAAGUGAAGCACUAGAGCAAAUGACAAACUACUCCGAAAGAUAUAAGUGAAGAUCAAUGAGUAGUCGAAUAAUUAUGCAACUAUGUGAAGACUCUCUAACAUUUAAGAAUUUCAGAUCUUGGUAUUUUAUUCAAACAGCAAGCAAAACAAAAGGAAAUAAAAUGACGCUCCAAGCAACACACAUAUUAUGUGGUGAAUAAAAAUGUAGCUCCAAGUAAAGUUACCGAUGAAGAAAGACGAAAGAGGGGAUGCCAACCGGGGCAUCCCCAAGCUUAGGCUCUUGAUUUUCCUUGAAUAUAACCUUGGGGUGCCUUGGGCAUCCCCAAGCUUAGGCUCUUGCCACUCCUUAUUCCAUAGUCCAUCGAAUCUUUACCCAAAACUUGAAAACUUCACAACACAAAACUCAACAGAAAACUCGUAAGCUCCGUUAGUAUAAGAAAAUAAAACCACCACUUAGGUACUGUUGUGAACUCAUUCUAAAUUCAUAUUGGUGUAAUAUCUAAUGUAUUCCAACUUCUCUAUGGUUCAUACCCACCGAUACUACUCAUAGAUUCAUUAAAAUAAGCAAACAACACAUAGAAAACAGAAUCUGUCAAAAACAGAACAGUUUGUAGUAAUCUGUAUCAAACAUAUACUUCUGGAACUCCAAAAAUUAUGAAAUAAAUUGGUGUACGUGAGGAAUUUAUCUAUUAAUCAUCUGUAAAAAGAAUCAACCUAAAAUCACUCUCCAGUAAAAAAGGCAGCUAAUCUCGUGAGCGCUAAAGUUUCUGUUUUUUACAGCAAGAUCAUAAAGACUUCACCCAAGUCUUCCCAAAGGUUCUACUUGGCACAAACACUAACUAAAACAUAAAAACCAUAUCUAACCAGAGUCUGGAUGAAUUAUUUAUUACUAAACAGGAACAAAAUCAAGGAAAAAAUAAAAUUGGGUUGCCUCCCAACAAGCGCUAACGUUUAACGCCCCUAGCUAGGCAUGAUGAUUUCAAUGAUGCUCACAUAAAAGACAAGAAUUGAAACAUAAAGAGAGCAUCAUGAAGAAUACGACUAGCACAUUUAAGUCUAACCCACUUACUAUGCAUAGGGAUUUUGUGAGCAAACAACUUAUGGGAACAAUAAUCAACUAGCAUAGGAAGGCAAAACAAGCAUAACUUCAAAACUUUAAGCACAUAGAGAGGAAACUUGAUAUUAUUGCAAUUCCUACGAGCAUAUAUUCCUCCCUCAUAAUAAUUUUCAGUAGCAUCAUGAAUGAAUUCAACAAUAUAACCAUCACAUAAAUCCUUCUUUUCAUGGUCUACAAGUAUAGAAUUUUUAUUACUCUCCACAUAAGAAAUUUUCUUCUCAUUCGGAAUAGUGAGAGUAUCAUAAGAAACUCGAAUACUAUAAAUUGUUUCCAUAUUAAAAGAGUAAUGUUCAGAAAAAGGGUAAUCAUAAUCAUGAAAAGUUUUAUAAAUGUAAUCAUCACUACUUUUUAUAGCAUAAGUUUCAUCACAAUAAUCAUCAUAAGUAACAACUUUGUUCUCAUCAUAACCAAUUGAGACCUCUUCCGAAAUAGUGGAUUCAUCACUAAAUAAAAUCAUGACCUCUCCAAAUCCACUUUCAUAAGUAUUAUAAGAUUCAACACCCUCCAAAAUAGUGGGAUCAUUACUUCCUAAAGUUGACACUCUUCCAAACCCACUUUCAUCAAUAUAACCAUCAUAAAUAGGAGGCAUGCUAUCAUCAUAAUAAAUUUGCUCAUCAAAACUUGGGAGGCUAAAAAUAUCAUCUCCAUUAAACAUAGCAUCCCGAAGCUUGGGACAAACAUUAAUUGCAGCAAAUACAUUCUCAAACAUGUCAUUCUCAUCAAACAUAGCAUCCCCAAGCUUGGGCCUUUUCAUAUCAUAAGCGUAAUCACUUUCAUCAUUAAUAGUAUGGAUAGCACCAAUAGUAUAGCAAUUAUCAUCAUCACAAUGAGUAAUAGGAGCAACAUCAUUUGGGAGGGAUACCUUUUUAACUUUGCUUCUCCGUCUUUUCUUUUUCUUCUUCACAUCAUGUGUGGGUUUAACCCUCUUUUUUGAGCUCCUUAUUAAUGAGAUUGGUUGAAUAGAAAGCUCCUCCUCGUUACCUGAUUCAUCAUAAGAAAUAAUAGGAGGAUAUUGGGAAGUCUCUUCCCUUUCAUUAGUAUUCUCUUCAUCUUCUAUUUGUUUUCUUGUCUUUAUGUAAUUGGCAAUAUAAGGAUUUUCAAUGCAAUUCAACGCACAAUACAUAAAAAUUUCUUCUAGAUCAAAAUCAAGAAAUCUAUCAAGAUUAAAUUUUGGAAUACCCUCAGUUAUACGUUUCAUUUCUUCAUACCCCAAAAUAAGACUAAGCUCUUUAUGAUGCUCAAGGGUAAUCGAGUUAUCAAAAUUUUUUGGACACGAUUUGAUCAUGAAACAAAUAGCAUUGGAGCUUUAAAUGACCAUGUUCAUUGCUAAGUUCACAAGGAUGGCGAUAAAUAUUGAAUCUUUCAGCAUAAUCAUCUAGCCUUUCUUGCAACCAUUUAGUUUCCAAAUACUUAUGCCUCUUGCAAAAUCUAUCUUCCCUAUUUGGUGUGAACUUGCAAGCUCUAUCUAUUCCACAAAAGUUGACAUGCUUAUAAGAGACAUUUUCAUCAUGACUAGUGCAAUCAUCAUUAGUACUAUGGAUAUUCAAAGAAUUCAUACUAACAACAUUGCAAUCAUGCUCAUCAUUCAAAUAUUUAGUGCCAAACAUUCUAAUGCAUUCUUCUUCUAACAUUUUGGCACAAUUAUCGGAAUCCUUAUUUUCAUGAAAGAUAUUAAAAAGAUGAAGCAUAUGAGGUACCCUUAAUACCAUAUUUUUUGUAGUUUUCUUUUAUAGACUAAAGUAGUGAUAAAACAAGAAACAAAAGAUUCGAUUGCAAGAUCUAAAGAUAUACCUUCAAGCACUAACCUCCCCGGCAACGGCGCCAGAAACUGCUUGAUGUCUACUACGCAACCUUCUUCUUGUAGACGUUGUUGGGCCUCCAAGUGCACAGGUUUGUAGGACAGUAGCAAAUUUCCCUCAAGUGGAUGACCUAAGGUUUAUCAAUCCGUGGGAGGCGUAGGAUAAAGAUGGUCUCUCUCAAACAACCCUGCAACCAAAUAACAAAGAGUCUCUUGUGUCCCCAACACACCCAAUACAUUGGUAAAUUGUAUAGGUGCACUAGUUCGGCGAAGAGAUGGUGAUACAAGUGCAAUAGGGAUGGUAGAUAUAGGUUUUUGUAAUAUGAAAAUAUAAAAACAGCAAGGUAACUAAUGAUAAAAGUGAGCACAAACGGUAUUGCAAUGCAUUGAAACAAGACCUAGGGUUCAUACUUUCACUAGUGCAAGUUCUCUCAACAAUAAUAACAUAAUUGGAUCAUAAAACUAUCCCUCAACAUGCAACAAAGAGUCACUCCAAAGUCACUAAUAGCGGAGAACAAAUGAAGAGAUUAUGGUAGGGUACGAAACCCCCUCAAAGUUAUUCUUUCUGAUCGAUCUAUUCAAGAGUCCGUAGUAAAAUAACACGAAGCUAUUCUUUCCGUUCGAUCCGUCAUAGAGUUCGUACUAGAAUAACACCUUAAGACACAAAUCAACCAAAACCCUAAUGUCACCUAGAUACUCCAAUGUCACCUCAAGUAUCCGUGGGUAUGAUUAUACGAUAUGCAUCACACAAUCUCAGAUUCAUCUAUUCAAGCCAACACAAAGUACUUCAAAGAGUGCCCCAAAGUUUCUACCGGAGAGUCAAGACAAAAACGUGUGCCAACCCCUAUGCAUAAGUUCACGCAGUCACGGAACCCGCAAGUUGAUCACCAAAACAUACAUCAAGUAGAUCACGUGAUAUCCCAUUGUCACCACAGAUAAGCACAUGCAAGACAUACAUCAAGUGUUAUCAAAUCCUUAAAGACUCAAUCCGAUAAGAUAACUUCAAAGGGAAAACUCAAUCCAUUACAAGAGAGUAGAGGGGGAGAAACAUCAUAAGAUCCAACUAUAAUAGCAAAGCUCGCGAUACAUCAAGAUCGUACCACCUCAAGAACACGAGAGAGAGAGAGAGAUCAAACACAUAGCUACUGGUACAUACCCUCAGCCCCGAGGGUGAACUACUCCCUCCUUGUCAUGGAGAGCACCGGGAUGAUGAAGAUGGACACCGGUGAGGGAUCCCCCCUCCGGCAGGGUGCCGGAACAGGGCCCCGAUUGGUUUUUGGUGGCUACAGAGGCUUGCGGCGGUGGAACUGCCGAUCUAGGUUUUGUUCUGGGGGUUUCUGUAUAUAUAAGAGGUUUUGGCGUUGAGAACAAGUCAGGGGGGGUCUCCGGGCUGUCCACGAGGUAGGGAGGCGCGCCCAGGGGGUGGGCGUGCCCCCCACCCUCAUGGGCAGCCCGAGACUCUUCUGGCCCAACUCUUUUACUCCAUGGCCUUCUUCUGGUCCAAAAAUAAGCUCCGUCAAGUUUCAGGUCAAUUGGACUCCGUUUGGUUUUCCUUUUCUGCGAUACUCAAAAACAAGGAAAAAACAAAAACUAGCACUGGGCUCUAGGUUAAUAGGUUAGUCCCAAAAAUCAUAUAAAUUAGCAUAUAAAUGCAUAUAAAACAUCCUAGAUGGAUAAUAUAAUAGCAUGGAACAAUCAAAAAUUAUAGAUAUGUUGGAGACGUAUCACGAUUGCCCAAUGCAAAUCACUCGAAAAGGAUAACAAAGCCAAGACGUCCGAUCUCGACAAGGCCUUACAAGAGGGGCGAGAGGCAUGAUCCGAGUCAAGAGCGACUCGGGAAGAGAUUCGGCAAGCUGGGGAGAUAGCGGCUGGUAAGCCCUUUCUUUUACAGACUAAAUUCGGCGAUCCGAACCAUGCCCCGCUGAAUCAAGUGUGGAGUUCUCCAGACUCGUUCUUGGACCUGUCGAAGAGUGUCACCGAUGCGGCACAGUUUUACCAAGCGCAAGACGGACGUGCAGUGGCGAAGCUUUUCUGGUCAUUGUUCGACGGGCCAAAGCGUCCGCCAUUGCUGAACGAACAAAUGGCCCAGUGGGCCGAGCUCCACAAGGUGUCCGGAGCUGCCAUGGAGGAAGUCGUGGUCCGGCUAUGGCCAACUGAGCCAAUUCCGAACAGUUAUUUCGGUUUCGUGCAGCGGCUUGUUCAUGCAGUGCCGCGUAUCGACGCUGUUAAGCGGUCAGCGUGCAUUGAAGGUGCACAGAUGGCCUUUGCCCGCGUCAAGACGUACUGGGAAAAAAUGAAGGCCACCGAUAUUGCAGCAAAUAGUCCACUUGAGGGCAAGAACCAUCGCGCGCCGGAGCAAUAUUUUGAGGAUGUCCUAGAGGGUGCCUGCUUGAUAGAGGGUCAAUGCUCGAAAGAUAUUAUGUUUGAGUAAAUGUAUCAGAAGUGUGAUAACAAUAUUAUGAUAUAUUAAGGCUGUGUUAUAUUUAUGCCUAUUGCCUGAAUGGCAUUUCCUCCUGUGCGGCCGUUUUUUUAUAAUCUGAAAGUUUGCCAGUCGUCGGCUUCAGCCCCCUCGCAUAUAAUGCGGGGGUGUUCGGAAUAGCAACUAACCACGCUUGACCCAACGUCUUGGUCCGUUAAGGAGGUGUCAGUGCGUCGAACUAGGCAACCAGACUAUAGGGCUUUAACACCUUCACUUAGCCAUAGGAGUUUGACGGUGGGUCUACGAUAUAGCCCCUUGUACGUACGCGGUUAUCCGAAUACGGCUGCGCUACAUAGGUGACCGGAAGAACGGUCCUUCGUGUAAUACGGAAGAAAUCGCAAAAGAUUCUGAUAAGUCAACGAGUGGUUGACCAGCUCUCACCGCAUCAUGACAGUCAGUUUUCGGCUUUCUCUACUAAGGUGCUUGACCAGGUGAACCGGAAACACAAUCGCAGUAGUUCUCCCUUUACUACCCUAGCCGAUAGGACAGAACAUAAGGUAGUAAGCACAUGAGCCGGGCAACCCAACUAUUGACCAAAGACAUGAUUCGGAGCUGAUGCAUAUAAGGCCAAACUCGUGACGCCGAAUUAUGCUAUAAAGCUGUUCGGACUUUUCGGCAACACAUAUGUUGCCGUAUCGAGCCCCUGGCGAUUUGAGCCGAGGUGCGCGUGUGAAACAACUGGAGAAGCAAAAUCCAGUUCUGGAAAAAGCAAAUACUGAAUACGGAUUUAUGUUCACUGGAAUCUGAUUUAUACGUCAAACGCAAUUAUACAGAUUACUCCACCCCUACCCAGGCUAUUUGACAUGCCAGGGGUCGAAGGAUGGGGAAAGGCACUUUACAGGUUUGAAAUAAAGUGUGCGGUCUACAAAAAAUUAUUUGGACCUCCUGUCGCACGUCUGCGCUGCCUUUGCCUCAGAUAAAAGCUUCCUUGACAGGAAUAGCCGUUGGUUAUUUAUACGAAGCCGAACUCAGAAAGAGUCCUUGUAAGUCCGUAGGAUGAACGGGUUUUGAUUCACCUGUAGUAAAAGAUAAAAAAUAGUUAGAAAAAAGAAGAAGGCUAGAGGAAUGCGAACCGUAUUGUAUGCCUGUCUGAAUUGUGCCUCCGCCAAUGACCAAGUUAUUUUAAGUUCAUAAUGAUGUAUGCGCGAUACAAACUUCGCGAGUAUAUGAGGCAAACGACAGAGGCCGAACUGCUAAUCUAGCUCUGAAAUUGACCGGUCCUGUGUAGUAGAGGCCGGCGGCUUAAUGGCCGAUGAGAUACGCGGCUUAAUGGGGCCGCUUUGUACUUCGGCUAUAAUAGCCGCAGUAUCCUCUGUACGGAGGGAGCAUUCCGUAUUUCCGUCUAUUGUGAUGACGCCUCAUGGACCAGGCAUCUUAAGCUUUAGAUAGGCGUUGUGUGGGACCGCAUUAAAACGAGCAAAAGUGGUCCGUCCGAGCAGUGCAUGAUAGCCACUACGGAAUGGGAAAAUAUCGAAGAUCAAGUCUUCGCUUCGAAAGUUGUUCGGCGAGCCAAAGACAACUUCCAAUGUAACUGAGCCUGUGCAGUGGGCCUCUACGCCAGGUAUUACUCCCUUGAAGGUAGUUGUGGUGGGCUUGAUUCGCGAAGGAUCAAUGCCCAUCUUGCGGACAGUGUCUUGGUAGAGUAGAUUAAGGCUACUGCCACCGUCCAGGAGGACUCUCGUAAGAUGGAUCCCGUCGAUAAUUGGGUCGAGGACCAGAGCUGCCGAACCUCCGUGACGGAUACUGGUUGGGUGGUCCCUGCGAUCAAAAGUGAUCGGGUAGGCCGCUCAUGGGUUAAAUUUUGGGGCGACCGGCUCUAUGGCAUAGACGUCCCGCAGUGCACGCUUGCGCUCCCUUUUAGGGAUGUGUGUCACAUAUAUCAUGUUUACUAUUUUUACUUUGGGGGGAAAUUGCUUCUGUCCCCCGGUGUUCGGUUGGUGAGUCUCCUCGUCAUCGCUGUCACUAGGCGGCCCCUUCCCCUUGUGUUCGGCGAGCUUGCCGGCCUGUUUAAAGACCCAACAACUUCUGUUGGUAUGAUUGGCUGGUUUGUCGAGGGUUCCAUGAAUCUGGCAGGGCCGGUCCAGUAUUUUGUCUAGACUGGAUGGUCCGUCUCUGUUUGCCUUGAAUGGCUUCUUCCAUUGACCGGAUUUGAAGCCGCUGAAUCCGGCGUUAACCGCCGUGUCUUGCAUUCCUUCAUUAUUGUUUCGACGCUUGUGUUUAUCGCGUCGUGGCUUGCCGUUGCCAUCUCGGGCUUCAAAAGUGCCCGGAUCGCUGGUGCUAUUGCUUCGACGAGCCAGCCAGCUAUCUUCUCCCGCACAAAAGCGGGUCAUUAGCGUGGUGAGGGCUGCCAUGGAUUUCGGUUUCUCCUGGCCAAGGUGGUGGGCGAGCCACUCAUCUCGGACGCUAUGCUUAAAGGCCGCCGGGGCUUCGGCAUCCGGACAAUCAACAAUUUGGUUCUUUUUAAUUAAGAACCUAGUCCAGAGCUUCCUGGCUGACUCUCCAGGCUGUUGUAUCUCUGCCCUUAUGGCGAGGUAGUACGGGCUGAUGUUCGGCUUGAGUUGCCAUUUUGUCCCGGCCAUGAGGUGGUCGGUUAGCCGCAUUACGUGCUGAUGGUACGGGCUCAAGUGCCUCGUCAUCGAAUUGAGGUAGCAAAUUGAGCUUCGGGUAACUUUUGGUUGGGCGCUCGAGGCCGUAUUCCUCAGCUGCCAGGACAUUAGUCCAUCUAUCGUUGAGCAGAUCUUGAUUAGCCUGGAGUUGCUGCUGCUUCUUUUUCAGUCUCCUUGCAGUGGCAAUUAGCCGGCGCUUGGAGCGCUCCUGCUCGAGAGGUUCCUCAGGCACGAUAAAGUCUUCGUCGCCGAGGCUCACCUCGUCCUCGGAGAGCGGAAGAUAAUUACUGUCCUCCGAGUCUUCAUUUACGGCCUGUUCAUCAGGGCUAGCACGCCCAUCUUCCCGGUCGUCCUGCUCGGAGGUUGGCUUAACGGGGUCUUCAUUGUCUUCGACAUCGUCUAGAGUAUUGUUUUCUCCUGUGCCGAUAUUGCUAUCUUUUCAACGGCAUGACUUAGCGCGGCGCCGCUGUCGUCGGUGCUUUGGCUGUAUCUCAGGAGGUUUAUCCUCGACUGGGUUUUCCUUGCCAUCGCCGCUAUUCUCUUUGGGUGUGUCCACCAUGUACACAUCAUAUAAGGAUGUGGCCGUCCAGCGUCCGGUAAACGGUGGGUUUUGGGCCUGCUCUUCUCCGGCAUCGUCGUCCAUACCGUCGAUGUCUUCGGAGCCGUAAUCGAGCAUGUCAGUUAAGUCCUCGACAGUGGCUAUGAAGUGGGUGGUGGGUGGGAUGUAAAAUUCCCUGCUCUCAGCCCCUAGUCCGGGCUGGGCGUAGUUCGGACAUUGCUCCUCUAUAAUGACGAGGGAGCGCAUCAAGUCCAGAGCCUCGCUUAAAGGCGAGGUUUGGCUAGGGAGAAGAAGAUCCGUGGAGUACGACGGCAAGGAAACUCCUUGGACGAAGUCACAUGAUGCUGUCUCCGAAGGGUCGGGGGCAGCGUUCAGAGGAGAGUCCGGCUUCCUGACGGUUGCCAGCGACACUGCUUCCUUCGGCUCUCCCGUAUUGGGUUUAGUGGCCGCAGAUAGUCUGGUAAGAUCAGAAAUCCCGUCUUCGGACAGGGUGGCGCGCUCCAGAUCUAGAGCCAGAGCGGAGGUUGGAGUCGUGAAUCCUUGGAAGAUCAGGUCUCCUCGGAUAUCAGCGACAUAGUCCAGGUUUCCAAAACUAAUCUGGUGACCUGGGGCGUAGCUGUCGAUCUGCUCUAGAAGGCCAAGUGAGUUGGCCCGUAGUGCGAAGCCGCCGAACACAAAGAUCUGGCUGGGGAGAAAAGCUUCCUCCAGGGCAGCAUUGUUGUGGAUGAUGGAUGGAGCCAUCGAACCUCCUGGAGAUGACACAACGGAACUCUCAAUGAAAGCACCAAUGUCGGUGUCAAAACCGACGGAUCUCGGGUAGGGGGUCCCGAACUGUGCGUCUAAAGUCGAUGGUAAUAGGAGACAGGGGACACGAUGUUUACCCAGGUUCGGGCCCUCUUGAUGGAGGUAAUACCCUACUUCCUGCUUGAUUGAUCUUGAUGAAUAUGAGGAUUACAAGAGUUGAUCUACCACGAGAUCGUAAUGGCUAAACCCUAGAUGUCUAGCCUGUAUGAUUAUGAUUCGCCCUACGGACUAACCCUUCUGGUUUAUAUAGACACCGGAGGGGACUAGGGUUGUACAAAGUCGGUUACAGAGAAAGGAAUCGAACGCCAAGCUUGCCAUCCACACAAAGGAGAGUCCUAUCCGGACACGGGAGAGGGUCUUCUGUCUUGUACCUUCACGGCCCAUCAGUCCGGCCCACGUCACAUAGGCCGGAUGCCCGAGGACCCCUUAAUCCAGGACUCCCUCAGCCCCCUCUAUGGCAGUAUGGUGGUCGGCGGUGGUCGGGCACAGGAGGGGAGGCGGGGCGGCAACAUCACACGGGAAGAACACUGGCAGUUGGCGAUCGGGCGAUGUGUUUUGUGUUUUGGGAAGUAGCCUUUGUGCCCCAAAUUAUACAUCACAUGUGCCCUGUUUUUGGGCAUCCCGAAACUUUUUUUGCUGCACUUUUUGUUUUUUGGGGUAGCUGUUGGAGAGGUUUUUUGGCCCCCGAAGCCCCCAAAAAGCAGUGUUGCCCUAUAAUGGGGCAGUUGUUGGAGAUGCACAAACAUAGACCCAUAGUCCCACGCACAUACAUCUGUAGUCAUGCAACAUCCACUAAAGAUUAAAUUCGAGUUGAUUGAUAAAAUCAUCGUAGAUGUUUUGGACAAAAACAUCACCUUUUACUGAAAGGAACAAUUCACUUUAAAGAUAUGCCAAAGCAUGGUUGAUCUAUGAUGGAUUGCAAUACCAACAUCCUCCAAACCAUUCAAUUAGUGGCCAGUUCUUAGCGUGCAUUUUUUUCUACAACACAAUUCUAUAGAGUUUUAUAUUAUUCUAAAAAAAACAACAUACAGACUGCUCUAACCUCGGCUCGCUAACAUAUCUUAUCCCAAUUUUUCUUCCCCUUAUGAACUAUGGAAGAUGUCCAAAAUAUUUAGCAAGCUAACAAUAGUAUAUUAUUUCAAAUUGUCAUAACGUAGCCUAAAAUACCGAAUAAGAGUGAACAUCACACACAAAACAUUAUGUAUCACACCGAUGAUCUAAAAAAACAUUAAACACAAUACAACCAACCUCGUCAGAAUGAUAGGUGAGCCAUCACUUCUAGUCAAACAUUGUCAUUACACACCAAGGUAAAGAGACAUCCAAACUUGAAGGAUGAAUAUGGGUACAGUGCGUCUCUCCUCCCUACGUUUCUGCCUCCCAUCGGCGCCGCCACCAAUCUGCCACGUCUCCUGUGGCCUUAUGGCCAUGGGUGCAUGGUGGAUCCCGGCCAUUUCCAGCGGGAGGGCUCUAUUUUUAGGUGCUUCUUCAAGUUUUGUUAGGGUUUAUGUCCUUCUCAUGAAGACAAGACGGUGUCGGCUCCCUGAAGAUGGAAUAAGAUUCUCCCCGCCGAGCCCCCUGUCCCGGUGGUGCGUCUAGCAUCGUCGGAGGGCGUGGAGGUGUGUCUCCGGCGGAUCUCGCGAGAUUCGGUCGGUGGUUGUUGAUAACCCACAAGUAUAGGGGAUCAGUUAUAGCCUCUUUCGAUAAGUAAGAGUGUCGAACCCAACGAGGAUCUAAAGGUAGAACAAAUAUUCCCUCAAGUUCUAUCGACCACCGAUACAACUCUAUGCACGCUUAACGUUCGCUUUACCUAGAACAAGUAUGAAACUAGAAGUACUUUCAAGGUGUUGUAGGAUAGGUUUGCAAGAUAAUAAAGAGCACGUAAAUAAAAUCUAGGGGCUGUUUAGAUAAAGAAACAACUAAGUUAGUUUUAGAAGAGAGUUUUUUGUCACAAGAAAGUUAUUUGUCCCUAGGCAAUCGAUAACUAGACCGGUAAUCAUUAUUGCAAUUUUAUAUGAGGGAGAGGCAUAAGCUAACAUACUUUCUUUUCUUGGAUCAUAUGCACUUAUGAUUGGAACUCUAGCAAACAUCCGUAUCUACUAAAGAUAAUUAAGGUAAAACCCAACCAUAGCAUUAAAGUAUCAAGUCCUCUUUACUCCCAUACGCCAUAACCCACUUAUCCAUGUUUGUGUUUCUAUCACUCACGCAACACAGACAAUAAGCAAACCAUGAACAUAUAUAUUGCAAACCCUAUAUCGGAUAUCUCUCACGCUUGCGCGACACGGAGAGCACCAUAGGACAACACCAAUAAUAAAACAUGCAACUCAAACCAAUCAUGAUCAUCAAUCAACCCAUAGGGCAAAACGGAUCUACUCAAACAUCAUAGGAUAGCCAUACAUCAUUGGGAAAUAAUAUAUAGCGUUGAGAACCAUGUUCAAGUAGAGAUUACAGCGGGGAGAAGAGGUCUUACACUACUGCAUAGAGGGGGAGAGAGUUGGUGAUGACGGCGGCGAAGUUGUUGGUGUAGAUCGCCGUCACGAUGAUGGCCCCGGCGGCGUUCCGGCGCCACCGGGAGAGAGGGGGGGAGCCCCUUCUUCUUCUUCUUCCCUGACCCCCCCCCUAGAUGGAAGAAGGGUUUCCCCUCUGGUCCAUGGCUUCCAUGGCGGUGGAGGGCCGGGAGCCCCUCUGAGAUUGGAUCUCUCUCUUUGUUUCCUUCUAUUUCUGUGCUCCCAGAUUUUGGCCUUUCAGCGUUUCUUAAAUUCCUGGAGAUCCGUAACUCCGAUUGCGCUGAAAUUUUAACACGAUUUUUAUCCGAAUAUUAGCUUUCUUGCGGCAAAAUAAGGGCACCAACCGCCUUAUGGGGUGACCACAAGGGCCCAGGGCGCGCCCCUGCCUUGUGGCCCCCUCAGGCAUCGUCUCGCGUUGAUUCUUUUUCCCAAAAAUCACAUAUUAAGACACGAGUGAUUCAAAGGAAUAGUCUAUCAUUUGACAUAAAGACAAUAAUACUUCAAGCAUACUGCUACUUGUUGAGCUUGUGUUGGUUUUUCCCUUGAAGAGGAAAGGGUGAUGCAGCAAAGUAGAGAUAAGUAUUUCCCCCAGUUAGAGAACCAAGGUAUCAAUCCAGUAGGAGACAACACACAAAUCAUCAAUACCUGCACAAAAAAUCAAACAACUUGCACCCAACGCGAUAAAGGGGUUGUCAAUCCCUUCAUGGUUACUUGCAAAAGUGAGAUCUGAUAGAGAUAGAUGAAACUAAACAAAAGAUAAACUAAAUAUUUUUGGUUUUUUGGUUUAUAGAUCUGAAAGUAAAAGAUUGCAAAAUAGUAGAUCAGAAACUUAUAUGAUGGAAAAUAGAUUCAGGGGCCAUAGGUUUCACUAGUGGCUUCUCUCAAGAUAGCAAAUAAUAUGGUGGGUGAACAAAUUACUGUCGAGCAAUUGAUAGAAAAGCGCAAAGUUAUGACGAUAUCUAAGGCAAUGAUUAUGAAAUAUAGGCAUCACGCCGUGUCAAGUAGACCGACUCCUGCCUGCAUCUACUACUAUUACUCCACACAUCGACCGACUCCUGCCUGUAUCUAGAGUAUUAAGUUCAUGAAGAACAGAGUAACACAUUAAGUAAGAUGACAUGAUGUAGAGGAAUAAACUCAAGCAAUAUGAUGUAAACCCCAUGUUUUUAUCCUUGAUGGCAACAAUACAAUACGUGUCUUGCUGCCCCUACUGUCACUGGGAAAGGACACCGCAAGAUUGAACCCAAAGCUAAGCACUUCUCCCAUUGCAAGAAAAACCAAUCUAGUUGGCCAAACUAAACCGAUAGUUCGAAGAGAAUUACAAAGAUAUCAAAUCAUGCAUAUAAGAAUUCUGAGAAGAUUCAAAUAAUAUUCAUAGAUAAGCUGAUCAUAAAUCCACAAUUCAUCGGAUCUCGACAAACACACUACAAAAGAAGAUUACAUCGGAUAGAUCUCCAAGAACAUCGAGGAGAACAUGGUAUUGAGAAUCAAAGAGAGAGAAGAAGCCAUCUAGCUACUAGUGAUACGUCUCUAUCGUAUCUAUAAUCUUUGAUUGUUUCAUGCCAAUAUUAUACAACUUUCACAUGUUUUUGGCAACUUUUUAUAUGAAUUAUUGGACUAACCUAUUGAUCUAGUGCCGAGUGCGAGUUCCUGUUUUUCGCAAUUUUUUAUCGCAGAAAAUCCAUAUCAAGCAAAGUCCAAAUGCAAUCAAAUUUUACGGAGAAUUAUUUUGGAAUAUAUUGGGAGUUGGAAUCACUGCAAACGGAGGCCCACACAGCCCACAAGACACUAGGGCGCGCCAGAGGCCCCUGGCGCAUGGUGGUGAGUUGUGCCCUCCUCAAACGUCGGUUGGAGCUCUAUUUCGGGCACAAGGAAGCUUAUAUCCGGAAAAAAUCAUGUUAAAAUAUCAGCGCAAUCGGAGUUACGGAUCUCCCGGAAUAUAAGAAACGGUUUUCGGCCAGAUCAGGGAAACGCGAAACAGAAGAGAACAGAGAAGGAGAUCCAAUCUCGGAGGGGCUCCCACCCCUCCGCCGCCAUUGACACCAAGGACCAAAGGGGGAACUCUCCUCCCAUCUAGGGGGAGGCCAAGGAAGAAGAACAAGAAGGAGGGGGGCUCUCUCCCCCUCUCCCCCGGUGGUGCCAGAGUGCCGCCGGGGCUAGGAUCGUGACGGCGAUCUACAUCAACAAUCUUGCUACCGUCAACACCAACUCUCUCCCCCUCUAUGAAGCGUGUAACACCUCUCCUCCCCGCUGUAAUCUCUACUUAAACAUGGUGCUCAACUCCAUAUAUUAUUUCCCAAUGAUCUAUGGUUAUCCUAUUAUGUUUGAGUAGAUUCGCUUUGUCCUGUGGGUUAAUCGUGAUCUUGGUUGGUAUGAUUGUAUAUUUUAUUUAUGGUGUUGUCCUACGGUGCCCUCCGUUCUCGUGCAAACGUGAGGGCCCCCCACUAUAGGGUGUUGCAAUAUGUUCAUGGUUCGCUUAUGGUGGGUUGCGAGAGUGACAGAAGCUUAAACCCGAGUAAGUGGGGUAUGACGUAUGGGAGUAAAGAGGACUUGAUACUUAAUGCUAUGGUUGGGGUUCACGACCUUAAUGAUCUUUAGUAGUUGCGGAUGGGAGUAAAGAGGACUUGAUACUUAAUGCUAUGGUUGGGGUUCACGACCUUAAUGAUCUUUAGUAGUUGCGGAUGCUUGCUAGAGUUCCAAUCAUAAGUGCCUAUGAUCCAAGUAGAGAAAGUAUGUUAGCUCAUGCCUCUCCCUCAUAUAAAAUUACAAGAAUGAUUACCGAUACUUGUUAUCGAUUGCCUAGGGACAAAUAACUUUCUUAUUGACACAAACCCUUUUACUAAACACCUUACUUUUAUUAUCUUGCAAAGCACUUCUAGUUUUAUUCUUGCAAAGUAGUUCUAGCAUCACUCCUACAAACUAGUUUCAUACUUGUUUUCGGUAAAGCAGACGUCAAGUGUGCGUAGAGUUGUAUCGGUGGUCGAUAGAACUUGAGGGAAUAUUUGUUCUGCCUUUAGCUCCUCAUUGGGUUCGACACUCUUAUUUAUUGAAGAAGGCUACAAACGAUCCCCUAUACUUGUGGGUUAUCAAGACCUUUUUCUGGCGCAGUUGCCGGGAGUUAUAGCGUGGGGUGAAUAUUCUCGUGUGUGCUUGUUUGCUUUAUCACUAAGUAAUUUUUAUUUUCUAUUCUAAGUUGUUCUCUAUAUUCAGUUAUGGAUAUGGAACACGAAACACCAAAAAAAUUAGUUGUACUUGCUACUCAUGGAGAUGGGGAACCUCCUAAAACCCUCAAUGCUCGUUAUGUGAAAAAUAUUUUGCACUACUUUGAUAAUCCUGAGAAAACCCCAUUCAACUUGAUAAUGGGAGUAACGUUGGAUCAACGUGAAUACUUUAGAGAUUAUCGCUUGACACAAAAAGGGAAAUUGUUACGGGAUCAAAUUUAUAUGUUGCAUUGGCAUGCUCGGGAUUUAUGCUUGAGAUAUGAUUAUACUUGUUGCUCUAGGAUGAACGCUCCACACCUUCCCUUUUCAUGCAAAUUUAAUGAUAAUGAAACCUUAGCUUCUUAUGCUAAUGGUAUAUAUGAUUACUAUGAUGUGGAACGAAUAGAAGAAUUUGUUGCUUUUAAGGGUGCUUAUGAAAUUGAAUCUUUGUUUAUAAAGUAUGAAGCUUUUGAUGAUGAUGUUUAUAGACCUGAAAAUUUUGCGAUCCUUAAAUAUUGCUAUGAUAAUUACAAAUAAAAUUCCGAUAUUGAUGAAUUUAUUGAGAAAGUCUCCGUUGUCCAAGAAGAGACUAAUAUUUUGCAGGAGUAUAUGGAAGAAGGAACUGAUAAAACUGUGAGUUCAUUGGAUGAAAAAGAUGAUGAGGAGAGCGAAGAACAAAAGGAGGAAGAGCGGAUUAGCUACCCGUGCCCACCUUCUAAUGAGAGUAACUCUACAACUCAUACAUCAUUUAAUGCCCCUUCGUUCUUACCGAAGGAUGGAUGCUAUGAUAAUUGCUAUGAUCCCGUUGAUUCAUUUGAAAUAUCCCUUUUUGAUGAACUUGAUGCUUGUUAUGCUUGUGGCCAAGAUGCCAAUAUGAAUUAUGCUUAUGGAGAUGAACUUGCUAUAGUUCCUUAUGUUAAGAAUGACAUUGUUGCUAUUGCACCCACACAUGAUAGUCCUAUUAUCUUUUUGAAUUCUCCCAACUACACUAUAUCGGAGAAGUUUGCUCUUAUUAAGGAUUAUAUUGAUGGGUUGCCUUUUACCGUUGCACAUGAUAAUUUUGAUGAAUGUAAUAUGCAUGUGCUUGCUGCUCCUACUUGCAAUUAUUAUGAGAGAUGAACUACAUCUCCGCCUCUCUAUGUUUCCAACACGACAAAAUUGCAAGAAACUGCUUAUGCUCUGUAUUGGCCUUUACUUGAUGUGCAUGAAUUGUUCUUGUAUGACAUGCCGAUGCAUAGGAAGAGAGUUAGACUUCUUAAUUGCUUGAUAUAUGUUGCUUUGUGCUCACUACUAAAUGCCAAAUCAUUGCUAAUUAAAAUUUGCUUUGAUAUACCUUGGGAUCCGGGUGGAUUCAUUACUUGAGCACUAUAUGCCUAGCUAAAUGGCUUUAAAGAAAGCACUGCCAGGGAGACAACCCGGAGGUUUUAGAGAGUCAUUUAUUUCUGUUGAGUGCUUUUAUAUAGUUUAAAAACAAAAAAUAUAGAGGGGAACUUAAAACUUCACAAAAAUAAAAGCGAAAGUGAGAGAGACGAGCAUUGUGAAAGUGGGGGACGUCCUUGAACUUUGUUCAUGCCCAUGGAAACUUUGUGAAUCUUAAUUACAGAAACUUUUCAACAAAAAAAUUAUCCCCUUGUACAAAGCCAUUGUAUUAUAUCAUGUGCCAAGAUUUGCCUUUAGGCUGAUUAGAUUGCUUGUUGGUAUGUGCGGUGUAGAAACACAAACUUUGGCUGUAGCGCGUGAAUUUUCAUUUUUUACUGGAAGGUCAAAAGGUUUUGAAACUUUUUGAACACUAUUUCUAUACAAAUUUUUUAUUUCGUCCUAAUUUUUGAGAAUUUUUGGAGUACCAGAAGUAUGGUAGAUGUUCAUAUUGCUACAGACUGUCCUGUUUAAGACAGAUUCUGUUUUUGAUGCAUUGUUUUGCUUGUUUUAAUGAAACUAUCGAUUCUAUCGGUGGUAUAAGCCAUGGAAAAGUUAUAUUACAGUAUCUAAAAUGUAAAAAAAAUAUGAAUUGGUUUGCAACAGUACUUAGAGUAGUGAUUUGCUUUAUUAUACUAACGGAUCUUACCGAGCUUUCUGUUGAGUUUUGUGUGGAUGAGGUGAUCAAAGAUUGAGGAGGUCUCGAUAUAAGGAGAAGGAGGAGCAAGAGCUCAAUCUUGGGGAUGCCAAAUCCACCCCAAGUAAAUAUUCAAGGAGACUCAAGCGUCUAAGCUGGGGGAUGCCCCGGAAGGCAUCCCAUCUUUCUUCAACAAGUAUCGGUAUGUUUUCGUCUUUGUUUCGUUCACGUGAUAUGUGUAAAUCUUGGAGCGUCUUUUGUGUUUAUUUUUCACUUUUCUUUUAUGCACCAUGUUGGUAUGAGAUAGUCCAUGGUUGAUUUAUAGAAUGCUCAUUGCACUUCACUUAUAUCUUUUGAGUAUGGCUUUAUAGAAUGCUUCAUGUGCUUCACUUAUAUCCUUUUAAGUUUGGAUUGCCUGUUUCUCUUCACAUAGAAAACCGUUGUUUGUAGAAUGCUCUUUUGCUUCACUUAUAUUUGUUAGAGCAUAGUCUUUUGUAGAAAGAAUUAAACUCUCAUGCUUCACUUAUAUCCAUUUAGAGAGUCAACAGGAAUUGGUCAUUUGCAUGGUUAGUCAUAAAAUCCUACAUAAAACUUAUGUAUCACUGAAUAUGAUAUGUUUGAUUCCUUGCAAUAGUUUUGAGAUAUAGAGAUGAUAAUAUGUGGGAGUUACUAGUAAACGGUUGUGGUUAGUAGGAAUAUUGGUGUUACGGUUUGUGAUUCCCGAAGCAUGCACGUAUAGUCUCUCGUUAUGCUAUGAAGUUGGAGGAUGAUUUAUUAUUGAUUGUCUUCCUUAUGUGUGGCGGUUGGGGACGAGCGAUGGUCUUUUCCUACCAAUCUAUCCCCCUAGGGGCAUGCAUAGUAGUACUUUGCUUCGAGGGCUAAUAAACUUUUGCAAUAAGUAUAUGAGUUCUUUAUGACUAAUGUGAGUCCAUGGAUUAUACGCACUCUUACGUUUUCGCAAUUUGCUAGCCUCUACGGUACCGUGCAUUGCCCUUUCUCAUCUCGAGAGUCGGUGCAAACUUCGCUGGUGCAUCCAAACCCCGUGAUAUGAUACGCUCUAUCACACAUAAGCAUUAUUAUAUCUUCCUCAAAACAGCCACCAUACCUACCUAUUAUGGCUUUUCCAUGGCCAUUUCAAGAUAUAUUGCCAUGCAACUUCCACCGCUUCCAUUUGAUGACUUGAGAAUUCAUUGUCAUAUUGCUUUGCAUGAUCAUAUAGCUGACAUAGUAGUUGUGGCUCAGCCAUCGUUCAUCAUUUUUUAUACAUGUUACGCUAGAUCAUUGGACAUCCUGGUACAUGCCAGAGGCAUUCUUAUAGAGUCAUACUUUGUCAUAGGUAUCGAGUUGUAAUUUUUAUUUCUUUUGAGUUAUAAGUAAAUAGAAGUGUGAUGAUCAUCAUUAUUCAUUUUUAGAGCAGUGCCCCAGUGAGGAAAGGAUGAUGGAGAUUAUGAUUCCCCCACAAGUCGGGUUGAGACUCCGGACAAUGAGAGAAAAAGAAAAAAAGAAAAAAAGGAAAAAAAGAAAAGAAAGAAAAAGAAAGAAAGAAAAAAGACAAAGAGAGAAGGGGCAUUGUUAGUAUCCUUUACCACACUUGUGCUUCAAAGUAGCACCAUGUUUUUCAUAUGGAGAGUCUCCUAUGUUGUCACUUUCAUAUACUAGUGGGAAUUUUUCUUUAUAGGAUUAGAUGCACACCCACUUAGUUUUCAUAUUGAGCUUUCAUACACUUAUAGCUCUUAGUGCAUUCGUUGCAUGGCAAUCCCUACUCCUCACGUUGAUAUCAAUUGAUGGGCAUCUCCAUAGCCCAUUGGUUAGCCGCGUCGGUGUGAGACUUUCUUACUUUUCUUCUUCUUUAUAUUUACCCCUAUCAUCAUACUCUAUUCCACCCAUAGUGCUAUAUCCAUGGCUUGCGCUCAUGUAUUGCGUGAGGGUUGAAAAAGAUGAAGCGCGUUAAAAGUAUGAACCAAUUGCUCGGCUUGUCAUCGGGGUUGUGCAUGAUAAAUACUUAGUGUUAAGAAGACAGAGCAUGACAAGACUAUAUGAUUUUGUAGGGAUAGCUUUCUUUAGUGUUGAUAUUUUGAAAGACAUGAUUGUUUGUUCGGAUGCCUGAGUAUUGAUGUCUUUAUGUCAAAUUAUAGACUAUUGCUUUGAAUCACUUAUGUCUUAAUAUUCAUGCCAUGAUUAGACAUAUGAUCAAGUUUAUGCUAGGUAGCAUUCCACAUCAAAAAUUAUCUUUUUUAUCAUUUACCUACUCGAGGACGAGCAUAAAUUAAGCUUGGGGAUGCUGAUACGUCUCCGUCGUAUCUAUAAUUUUUGAUUGUUUCAUGCCAAUAUUAUACAACUUUCACAUGUUUUUGGCAACUUUUUAUAUGAUUUAUUGGACUAACCUAUUGAUCUAGUGCCCAGUGCGAGUUCUUGUUUUUUGCAUGUUUUUUGUAUUGCAAAAAAUCCAUAUCAAACGAAGUCCAAAUGCAAUAAAAUUUUACGGAGUAUUAUUUUGGAAUAUAUGUGAUUUUUGGGAGUUGGAAUCACUGCAAACGGAGGCCCACACAGCCCACAAGACACCAGGGCGCGCCAGAGGCCCCUAGCGCAUGGUGGUGGGUUGUGCCCUCCUCGAACGUCGGUUGGAGCUCUACUUCAGGUGCAAGGAAGCAUAUAUCCGGAAAAAAAUCGUGUUAAAAUCUCAGCGCAAUCGGAGUUACGGAUCUCCCGGAAUAUAAGAAACUGUUUUCGGUCAGAUCACGGGAACGCGAAACAGAAGAGAACAGAGAGGGAGAUCCAAUCUCGGAGGGGCUCCCGCCCCUCUGCCGCCAUGGAGACCAAGGACCAGAGGGGGAACUCUCCUCACAUCUAGGGGGAGGCCAAGGAAGAAGAAGGAGGGGGGCUCUCUCCCCCUCUCUCUCGGUGGCGCCGGAGUGCCGCCGGUGCUAGGAUCGUGACGGCGAUCUACAUUAACAAUCUUGCUACCGUCAACACCAACUCUCUCCCCCUCUAUGCAGCGGUGUAACACCUCUCCUCCCUGCUGUAAUCUCUACUUAAACAUGGUGCUCAACUCCAUAUAUUAUUUCCCAAUGAUCCAUGGUUAUCCUAUGAUGUUUGAGUAGAUUCGCUUUGUCCUGUGGGUUAAUCAUGAUCUUGGUUGGUAUGACUGUAUAUUUUAUUUAUGGUGUUGUCCUACGGUGCCCUCCGUUCUCGCGCAAAUGUGAGGGGCCCCCGCUGUAGGGUGUUGCAAUAUGUUCAUGGUUCGCUUAUGGUGGGUUGCGAGAGUGACUGAAGCUUAAACCCGAGUAAGUGGGGUAUGACGUAUGGGAGUAAAGAGGACUUGAUACUUAAUUCUAUGGUUGGGUUUCACGACCUUAAUGAUCUUUAGUAGUUGCAGAUGCUUGCUAGAGUUCCAAUCAUAAGUGCAUAUGAUCCAAGUAGAGAAAGUAUGUUAGCUCAUGCCUCUCCCUCAUAUAAAAUUACAAGAAUGAUUACCGGUACUUGUUAUCGAUUGCCUAGGGACAAAUAACUUUCUUGUUGACACAAACCCUUUUACUAAACACCUAACUUUUAUUAUCUUGCAAAGCACUUCUAAUUUUAUUCUUGCAAAGUAGUUGUAGCAUCACUCCUACAAACUAGUUUCAUACUUGUUUCGGUAAAGCAGACAUCAAGUGUGCGUAGAGUUGUAUCGGUGGUCGAUAGAACUUGAGGGAAUGUUUGUUCUGCCUUUAGCUCCUCGUUGGGUUCGACACUCUUAUUUAUCGAAGAAGGCUACAAACGAUCCCAUAUACUUGUGGGUUAUCAACUAGCUACAGACCCAUAGGUCUGAGGUAAACUACUCACGCUUCAUCGGAAGGGUAAUAGAGUUGAUGUAUAAGCCCUCCGUGAUCGAAUCCCCCUCCGGCAGGAUACCGAAAAAGACCCCUAGAUGGGAUGUCACGGGUACAUAAGGUUGCGGCGGUGGAAAAGUGUUUCGGUGGAUGCUUCUAGUGGUUUGGGGAUAUAUGUGAAUACAUAGGAGGAAGAAGUAGGUCAGUGGAGUCACGUGGGUCCCACAAGGCCGGGGGCGCGCCCUACCCCCUGGGCGCGCCCUCCCCCUUGUGGCCGCCUCGUGGCUCUUCCGACUUGAUCUCCAAGUCUCCUGGGUGUCUUCUGGUCCAAGAAAAAUCAUCGCGAAGGUUUUAUUCUGUUUGGACUCCGUUUGUUAUUCCUUCUCUGCGAAGCUCAAAAACAAGGAAAAAACAGAAACUGGCACUGGGCUCUAGGCUAAUAGGUUAGUCCAAAAAUUAAUAUAAAAUAGCAUAUUAAUGCAUAUAAAACAUCCAAAACAGAUAAUAUAAUAGCAUGGAACAAUAAAAAAUUAUAGAUGCGUUGGAGAUGUAUCAAGCAUCCCCAAGCUUAAUUCCUGCUCGUCCUCGAGUAGGUAAAUGAUAAAAACAAAAUUUUUGAUGUGGAAUGCUACCUAACAUAUUUAUCCAUGUAAUUUUCUUUAUUGUGGCAUGACUGUUCAGAUCCAUAAGAUUCAAAACAAAAGUUUAAUAUUGACAUAGAAACAAUAAUACUUCAAGCAUAUAUACUAACAAGGCAAUUAUGUCUUCUCAUAAUAACAUGGCCAAAGAAAGCUUAUCCCUACAAAAUCAUAUAGUCUGGCUAUGCUCCAACUUCACCACACAAAAUAUUCAAAUCAUGCACAAACCCGAUGACAAGCCAAGCAAUUGUUUCAUACUUUUGAUGUUCUCAAACUUUUUCAACUUUCAGGCAAUACAUGAGCGUGAGCCAUGGAUAUAGCACUUUAGGUGGAAUAGAAUAUGGUGGUUGUGGAGAAGACAAAAAGAGGGAGAUAGUCUCACAUCAACUAGGCGUAUCAACGGGCUAUGGAGAUGCCCAUCAAUAGAUAUCAAUGUGAGCGAGUAGGGAUUGUCAUGCAACGGAUGCACUAGAGCUAUAACUUUAUGAAAGCUCAAAAAUAAAACCUAGGGCGAUUUGAGGAAGCCCAUCGUUGGAAUAUACAAGCCAAGUUCUAUAAUGAAAAAUUCCCACUAGCAUAAAGUGACAACAUAGGAGACUCUCUAUCAUGAAGAUCAUGGUGCUACUUUGAAGCACAAGUGUGAAAAAAGGAUAGUAACAUUGCCCCUUCUCUCUUUUUCUCUUUUUUUGUUUUGCUUCUUUGGCCACUUUUUUUAUUUCCUCACAUGGGACAAUGCUCUAAUAAUGAAGAUCAUCACACUUUUAUUUACGUACAACUCAAGAAUUACAACUCGAUACUUAGAACAAAAUAUGACUCUAUGAAUGGCUCCGGCGGUGUACCGGGAUGUGCAACGACUCAAGAGUGACAUGCAUGAAAGAAUCAUGAAAGGUGGCUUCGCCACAAAUACAAUGUCAACUACAUAAUCAUGCAAAGCAAUAUGACAAUGAUGAAGCGUGUCAUAAUAAACGGAACGGUGGAAAGUUGCAUGACAAUAUAUCUUGGAAUGGCUAUGGAAAUGCCAUAAUAGGUAGGUAUGGUGGUUGUUUUGAGGAAGGUAUAUGAUGGGUGUAUGGUACCGGUGAAAGUUGCGUGGUACUUGAGAGGCUAGCAAUGGUGGAAAGGUGAGAGUGCGUAUAAUCCAUGGACUCAACAUUAGUCAUAAAGAAAUCACAUACUUAUUGCAAAAAUCUAUUAGUUAUCGAAACAAAGUACUACGCGCAUGCUCCUAGGGGGAUAGAUUGAUAGGAAAAGACCAUCGCUCGUCCCCGACCGCCACUCAUAAGGAAGACAAUAAAUAAAUAAAUCAUGCUCCGACUUCGUUACAUAACGGUUCACCAUACGUGCAUGCUACGGGAAUCACAAACCUCAACACACGUAUUCCUCCAAUUCACAAUUACUCACUAGUGUUCGCACAUGAACACGUCACCGUGUACCCUCGACGCCGGAGGUGAUGCACCGCAGCUCACGUCGAAGGAGACCCGCCGGAAGCGCGGUACGCAAGCAAUCUGGCGGGCGCUUUUGUAGACCCGAAACCCCACAUGCCCGGGAGGGACCCCGUCAGGGCGCGCUGCAGCUAUGGGCUGCCCUAGGCCGACCUAAUCGCCCCUAGGGCCUCGAGGUUCGCCGCCCUGCAAACGAAGAACGAACGAAGAACGAGAAGAAAGAUACAAGGGAGAGGGAUAAUGAAAACGAAAAGUAGUAGAUAGAUUUGUUCGAUUGUGUGUUGUUGUUCAAUCGGCCGUCACCUCUUGUCUAUAUAAGAGGUGGAUGGACUUCCUGUACAAGAAAAGGACUUGCCUAGCCGUCCAAAUCAUCAAAACCUAACAAAACACAGACUAUCCACGACCUCCGGCCCGGAUGUCCGGCUCAAGGCCCGGAUGAUCCGGCCUAACCCAGUUUUCUGACAACACCUCACUGUUUUGGCUCUAUAAUCCACAUCCGACAUCGGAUUUGGACGAGUUUUAUAUCAAAAUCAAUCGCCUCGACGAGACGCACAACGUUUAUGUUGAACACUUUUCGAUCUGAGGCCAUAUUGAAGGUGUUUCGGGCCGUUUUCUAAAGUCUGCAGCAGAAAAACUUGUCCAGACGUCCGGACGAUUUCCCGGAUUGUCCGGCCUUUACCCGGAUCAUCCGGGACUUGACCUAGAUCAUCUGGCUUCAAUUUUUAUCUGCUGUUGUUUGGGUCAAUUUUUCGGCCCCCGGCCGGAUGAUCUGAACCCCGGUCCGGAUAAAAAUAUAGCCUCAAGUAAAGUUACCGAUAGACGAAGACGAAAGAGGGGAUGCCUUCCGGGGCAGAUUAGGCUCUUGGUUGUCCUUGAAUAUUACCUUGGGGUGCCUUGUGCAUCCCCAAGCUAAGGCUCUUGCCACUCCUUAUUCAAUAGUCCAUCAAAUCCUUACCCAAAACUUGAAAACUUCACAACACAAAACUCAACAGAAAAUCUCAUAAGCUCCGUUAGUAUAAGAAAAUAAAUCACCACUUUUUGUACUGUUAUGAACUCAUUCUUUAUUUAUAUUGGUGUAAUAUCUACUGUAUUCCAACUUCUCCAUGGUUCAUACCCCCCAAUACUACUCAUAGAUUCAUCAAAAUAAGCAAACAACACAUAGAAAACAGAAUAUGUCAAAAACAGAACAGUCUGUAGUAAUCUGUAACUCUUGAAUACUUCUGUAACUAUAAAAAUUCUGAGAAAUUAGGACAACCUGGGAAAUUUGUGUACAAAUGUUUUGCAAAAAGAAUCAGAUCAAAAUCAUGCUUCUGUGGAUUAUGAAAAUUAUUUUCCUGGCGAAAAAGUUUCUGUUUUUCAGCAAGAUCAAAACAACUAUCACCAUAAGCCAUCCCAAAGGUCUUACUUGGCACAAACACUAAUUAAAACACAAAACCAUAUCUAAUAAGAGGCUAGAUGAAUUAUUCAAAGCAAAAUAGGAACAAAAAUCAAAAACAAAAAAUAAAAUUGGGUUGCCUCCCAACAAACGCUAUUGUUUAAUGCCCUUAGCUAGGCGUAAAAACACAAAUGGAUCUAGGUAUUGUCAUCUUUGGUAUGCAAUCCUUCAAUUGCACACUUAUAAUCCUGAGGAGAUUCUUUGGUUUUAUCAAUGAUCAAGCUCCUAGGCAAGAAAUCAAUAAAUUCAUUCAUGGCAAUCGAUUCCUUAAUAAUAUCGAGAAAAUUGGGGUGAACACUUAUUGUUUUGAGAACUCCAUUUUCUUUACUAGAAGAUUCACCCUUAUUCUUAGGAACAUAAAGAAACUUGGCAGUCUUAGUAGGAGGAAGAUUUUGAGUAGUUUUAACGGAGGAAAAAGCGGAUCCCAAGUGUGUAAUAAUGUCUUCUAGUUUGCCAAUUCUAGUAGAAUCUUGAUCUAUAUUUUCGUUAACUAUGGGUUCCGUUUCUCUAAGAUUCUUUAAAGUAACUCCUACCUUAGAUCCAUAUUGAGUAAUCUGAUUAUGAAUCUUUUUAUCAAAAUUUUCAAUCAACUCUAUGGUAGCAAUUUUAUUCUCAAUAAUAUCAAGCUUUUGCAUCACAUGUUCCAAGGUUAAAGCAGUUCCAUUGAUCAAAAGAGGUGGUGGGCCUAACAAAUCUAUCAUAGCAUUGUAAGAAUCAAAUGUAUGGCUCCCCAAAAAAUCCCUCCGGCAAUAGUAUCUAGAACAUAUCUAUUCCAAGGAGUAACACCCACAUAAAAAUUGCGAAGGAGAAUGGCAAUAGAUUGCUUUCGAGUAGAUCUAUUUUGAACAUUGCAAAUUCUAUACCAAGCAUCUUUUAAAUUUUCUCCAUCCCUUUGUUUAAAAUUAAGAACCUCAUUAUCGGGAGUGCUAACAAUAAUGGGAGGACUAGCCAUGAAAGCAAGACAAGCGAACUAGCGCACGAGCAAACAAAAAGCAACGAAGAAGACGAACGAAAGAAGGGCGAGAAAAAGCAAAGAAGAGGGCGAAGAAAAGGUAAAUCUUUUCGAAAAUCGUUUUAGAAGUGGGAGAGAGGAAAACGAGAGGUAAAUGGCGAAUAAUGUAAUGCAAGAGAUGAGAGUUUUAUGAUGGGUACUUGGUAUGUCUUGACUUGGCGUAGAUUGAUACGUCUCCGUCGUAUCUAUAAUUUUUGAUUGUUCCAUGCCAAUAUUAUACAACUUUCAUAUACUUUUGGCAACUUUUUAUACUAUUUUUGGGACUAACAUAUUGAUCUAGUGCCCAAUGCCAGUUCCUGUUUGUUGCAUGUUUUUUGUUUUGCAGAAAAUCCAUAUCAAACGGAGUCCAAACUGGAUAAAAACUGACGGAGAUAUUUUUUUGGAAUAUAUGUGAUUUUUGGGAAGAAGAAUCAACGCGAGACGAUGCCCGAGGGGGCCACGAGUUAGGGGGGCGCCCCCCAGGGGGUCAGGCGCGCCCUGGGCCCUCGUGGCCACCCCAUAAGGCGGUUGGUGCCCUUCUUUCGCCGCAAGAAAGCUAAUAUCCAGAUAGAGAUCGUGUCCAAAAUUCAGCCCAAUCGGAGUUACGGAUCUCUGGGAAUUUAAGAAACGGUGAAAGGGCAGAAUCAGGGAACGUAGAAACAGAGAGAGACAGAGAGACAGAUCCAAUCUCGGAGGGGCUCUCGCCCCUCCCACGCCAUGGAGACCAUGGACCAGAGGGGAAACCCUUCUCCCAUCUAGGGAGAAGGUCAAGGAAGAAGAAGAAGGAAGGGGGCUCUCUCCCCCUCGCUUCCGGUGGCACCGGAGUGCCGCCGGGGCCAUCAUCGUCACCACAAUCUUCACCAACAACUUCACCGCCGUCAUCACCAACUCUUCCCCCCUCUAUGCAGCGGUGUAAUCCCUCUUUUACCUGCUGUAAUCUCUACUUAAACAUGGUGCUCAACGCUAUAUAUUAUCUCCCAAUGAUGUAUGGCUAUCCUAUGAUGGUUGAGUAGAUCCGUUUUGUCCUAUGGGUUAAUUGAUGAUCGUGAUUGGUUUGAGUUGCAUGUUUUAUUAUUGGUGUUGUCCUAUGGUGCUCUCCGUGUCGCGCAAGCGUGAGGGAUCCCCGCUGUAGGGUUUGCAAUAUGUUCAUGAUUUGCUUAUGGUGGGUGGCGUGAGUGACAGAAGCACAUACCCGAGUAAGUAGGUUGUUUGCGUAUGGGAAUAAAGAGGACUUGAUACUUUAAUGCUAUGGUUGGGUUUUACCUUAAUGAUCUUUAGUAGUUGCGGAUGCUUGCUAGAGUUCCAAUCAUAAGUGCAUAUGAUCCAAGAAGAUAAAGUAUGUUAGCUUAUGCCUCUCCCUCAAAUAAGAUUGCAAUAAUGAUUACCGGUCUAGUUAUCGAUUGCCUAGGCACAAAUAACUUUCUUGUUGACAAAAGCUCUCUACUAAAACUAACUUAGUUGUGUCUUCUUCUAAACAGCCCCUAGUUUUUAUUUACACGCUCUUUAUUAUCUUGCAAACCUAUCCCACAACACCUACAAAGUACUUCUACUUUCAUACUUAUUCUAGGUAAAGCGAACGUUAAGCGUGCAUGGAGUUGUAUCGGUGGUCGAUAGAACUUGAGGGAAUAUUUGUUCUACCUUUAGCUCCUCAUUGGGUUCGACACACUUACUUAUCGAAAGAGGCUACAAUUGACCCCCUAUACUUGUGGGUUGCCAAGAUCUUUUUCUGGCGCCGUUGCCGGGGAGCAAUAGCGUGGGGUGAAUAUUCUCGUGUGUGCUUGUUUGCUUUAUCACUAAGUAGUUUUUAUUUUCUGUUCUAAGUUGUUCUCUAUCUUUAGUUAUGGAUAUGGAACACGAAAUACCAAAAAAUUAGUGGUACUUCCUACUCAUGGAGAUGGGGAACCUCCUAAAACCCUCGAUGCUGGUUAUGUGAAAAAUAUUAUGUACUACUUUGAUAAUCCUGAGAAAACCCCAUUCAAUUAUGUAAUGGGAGACACGUUGGAUCAACGUGAAUACUUUAGGGAUUGUCGCUUGACUCAAAAAGGGAAACUAUUAUGGGAUCAAAUUCAUAUGUUGCAUUGGUAUGCUCGGGAACUAUGCUUGAGAUAUGAUUAUACUUGUUGCUCUAGGAUGAACGCUCGACACCUUCCCUUUUCAUGCAAAUUUAAUGAUGAUAAAACCUUGGCUUCUUAUGCUAAUGGUAUAUAUGAUUACUAUGAUGUGGAACAAAUAGAAGAAUUCAUUGCUUUUAUGGGUGCUUAUGAAAUUGAAUCUUUGUUUAAAGAGUGUGAAAAUCUUGAUGAUGUUGUUUAUAGACUUGAAAAUUUUGCUAUACUUAAAUAUUGCUAUGAGAAUUAUGAAUUCAAUUCCGAUAUUGAUGAUUUUAUUGAGAGAGUCUCCGCUGUCCAAGAAGAGACUAAUAUUUUGCAGGAGUCUAUGGAAGAAGAAAUUAAUGACACUGUGAGCUCAUUGGAUGAAAAAGAAGAUGAGGAGAGCGAAGAACAAAAGGAGGAAGAGCGCAUUAGCUACCCGUGCCCACCUUCUAAUGAGAGAAACUCUUGAACUCAUACAUUGUUUAAUUUCCCUUCGUGCUUACCGAAGGAUGAUUGCUAUGAUGAUUGUUAUGAUCCCGUUGGUUCAUUUGAAAUAUCCCUUUUUGAUGAACUUGAUGCUUGCUAUGCUUGUGGCCAUGAUGCCAAUAUGAAUUAUGCUUAUGGAGAUGAACUUGCUAUACUUCCUUAUGUUAAACAUGAAAUUUUUGCUAUUUCCCCCACACAUAAUAGUCCUAUUAUUGUUUUGAAUUCUCCAAACUACACUAUAUCAGAGAAGUUUGCUCUUAUUAAGGAUUAUGUUGAUGGGUUGCAUUUUACCGUUGCACAUGAUGAUUUUGAUGAAUAUAAUAUGCAUGUGCUUGCUGCUCCUACUUGCAAUUAUUAUGAGAGAGGAACUAUAUAUCCACCUCUCUAUGUUUCCAACACGAUAAAAUUGCAAGAAACUGUUUAUACUAUGCAUAGGCCUUUACUUUGUGUGCAUGAAUUGUUCUUUUAUGACAUGCCGAUGCAUAGGAAGAGAGUUAGACUUCGUAGUUGCAUGAUAUAUGUUACCUUGGGAUCCGGGUGGAUCCAUUACUUGAGCACUAUAUGCCUAUCUUAAUGGCUUUAAAGAAAGCGCUGCCGGAGAGACAACCCGGAAGUUUUAGAGAGUCAUUUAUUUCUGUUGAGUGCUUUUAUAAAGUUUAAAAAAAAGAGGGGAACCCAAAACUUUUUCAAAAAGAAAAGCGAAAGUGAGAAAGACGAGCAAUGUUAAAGUGGGAGCUAGCCUUGAACUUUGUUCAUGCUCACAGAAACUUUGUGAAUCCUGAUUACAGAAACUUAUCAACAAAAAUAAUUAUCCCGUUGUACAAUUCCAUUGUAUUAUAAAAAUAAUGUGCCAAGCUUUGCCUUUAGGAUGUUUACAAUGCUUGUUGGUUUGUGCGGUGUAGGACAGUGUUAGAAAUAUGCCCUAGAGGCACUAAUAAAUUGGUUAUUAUUAUAUUUCCUUGUUCAUGAUAAUCGUUUAUUAUCCAUGCUAAAAUUGUAUUGAUAGGAAACUCAGAUACAUGUGUGGAUACAUAGACAACACCAUGUCCCUAGUAAGCCUCUAGUUGACUAGCUCGUUGAUCAAUAGAUGGUUACGGUUUCCUGACCAUGGACAUUGGAUGUCGUUGAUAAUGGGAUCACAUCAUUAGGAGAAUGAUGUGAUGGACAAGACCCAAUCCUAAGCCUAGCACAAGAUCGUGUAGUUCGUUUGCUAAGAGCUUUUCUAAUUUCAAGUAUCAUUUCCUUAGACCGUGAGAUUGUGCAACUCCCGGAUACCGUAGGAAUGCUUUGGGUGUACCAAACUUCACAACGUAACUGGGUGGCUAUAAAGGUGCACUACAGGUAUCUCCGAAAGUGUCUGUUGGGUUGGCACGAAUCGAGACUGGGAUUUGUCACUCCGUAUAAACGGAGAGGUAUCUCUGGGCCCACUCGGUAGGACAUCAUCAUAAUGUGCACAAUGUGACCAAGGAGUUGAUCACGGGAUGAUGUGUUACGGAACGAGUAAAGAGACUUGCCGGUAACGAGAUUGAACAAGGUAUCGGGAUACCGACGAUCGAAUCUCGGGCAAGUACUAUACCGCUUGACAAAGGGAAUUGUAUACGAGAUUGAUUGAAUCCUUGACAUCGUGGUUCAUCCGAUGAGAUCAUCGUGGAACAUGUGGGAGCCAACAUGGGUAUCCAGAUCCCGCUGUUGGUUAUUGGCCGGAGAAUGUCUCGGUCAUGUCGGCAUGGUUCCCGAACCCGUAGGGUCUACACACUUAAGGUUCGAUGACGCUAGGGUUAUAGGGAAUAGAUAUACGUGGUUACCGAAUGUUGUUCGGAGUCCCGGAUGAGAUCUCGGACGUCACGAGGAGUUCCGGAAUGGUCCGGAGGUAAAGUUUUAUAUAUGGGAAGUCCUGUUUUGGUCACCGGAAAAGUUUCGGGUGCUAUCGGUAACGUACCGGGACCACCGGGAGGGUCCCGGGGGUCCACCAGGUGGGGCCACCGGCCCCAAAGGGCUGCGUGGGCCAAGUGUGGGAAGGGACCAGCCCCUAGGUGGGCUGGUGCGCCUCCCACAAGAGGCCCAAGGUGCAGGGAAGGGGGGAAGGGGAAACCCUAGGCUCAGAUGGGCCUAAGGCCCACCUAGGGUGCGCCCCCCUCUCCCCCCUCUGGCCGCCCCCCUAGAUGCAUCUAGGGCUGGCCGCACCCCUUGGGGGGGAACCCUUGAUGGGGGCGCAGCCCCUCCCCUCCCUUAUAUAUAGUGGGGGUUUUGGGGCUGCCAAGACACGAGUCUCCCUCUCUCUUGGCGCAGCCCUACCCCUCUCCCUCCUCGUCUCUCGCAGUUCUUGGCGAAGCCCUGCUGGAGUGCCACGCUCCUCCAUCACCACCAUGCCGUUGUGCUGCUGCUGGACGGAGUCUUCCCCAACCUCUCCCUCUCUCCUUGCUGGAUCAAGGCAUGGGAGACGUCACCGGGCUGCACGUGUGUUGAACGCGGAGGCGCCGUGGUUCGGCGCUUAGAUCGGAAUCAACCGCGAUCUGAAUCGCUACGAGUAUGACUCCUUCAUCCGCGUUCUUGCAACGCUUCCGCUUAGCGAUCUACAAUGGUAUGUAGAUGCACUCCCCUUGCCCUCGGUGCUAGAUUACUCCAUAGAUUGAUCUUGGUGAUGCGUAGAAAAUUUUGAAUUUCUGCUACGUUCCCCAAAAGUGGCAUCAUGAGCUAGGUCUAUGCGUAGUUUCUAUGCACGAGUAGAACACAAAGUAGUUGUGGGCGUCGAUUUUGUCAAUUUACUUGCCGUUACUAGUCUUAUCUUGAUUCGGCGGCAUCGUGGGAUGAAGCGGCCCGGACCGACCUUACACGUACACUUACGUGAGAUAGGUUCCACCGACUGACAUGCACUAGUUGCAUAAGGUGGCUAGCGGGUGUCUGUCUCUCCCACUUUAGUCGGAUCGGAUCCGAUGAAAAGGUUCCUUAUGAAGGGUAAAUAGAAAUUGGCAUAUCACGUUGUGGCUUUUGCGUAGGUAAGAAACGUUCUUGCUAGAAUCCCAUAGCAGCCACGUAAAACAUGCAACAACAAUUAGAGGACGUCUAACUUGUUUUUGCAGGGUAUGCUAUGUGAUGUGAUAUGGCCAAAAGGAUGUGAUGAAUGAUAUAUGUGAUGUAUGAGAUUGAUCAUGUUCUUGUAAUAGGAAUCACGACUUUCAUGUCGAUGAGUAUGACAACCGGCAGGAGCCAUAGGAGUUGUCUUAAUUUACUGUAUGACCUGCGUGUCAAUGAAAACGCCAUGUAAUUACUUUACUUUAUUGCUAACCGUUAGCUAUAGUAGUAGAAGUAAUAGCUGGCGAGACAACUUCAUGAAGACACGAUGAUGGAGAUCAUGAUGAUGGAGAUCAUGGUGUCAUGCCGGUGACAAAGGUGAUCAUGCCGCACCUCGAAGAUGGAGAUCAAAAGGCGCAAGAUGAUAUUGGCCAUAUCAUGUCACUUUAUGAUUUGCAUGUGAUGUUUGUCAUGUUUACAUCUUAUUUGCUUAGAAUGACGGUAGCAUAAAUAAGAUGAUCCCUCACUAAAAUUUCAAGAGACGUGUUCCCCCUAACUGUGCACCGUUGCGAAGGUUCGUUGUUUCGAAGCACCACGUGAUGAUCGGGUGUGAUAGAUUCUAACGUUCGAAUACAACGGGUGUUGACGAGCCUAGCAUGUACAGACAUGGCCUCGGAACACAUGCGAAACACUUAGGUUGACUUGACGAGCCUAGCAUGUACAGACAUGGCCUCGGAAUACAAGAGAUCGAAAGGUCGAACAUGAGUCGUAUAGUAGAUGCGAUCAACAUGGAGAUGUUCACCGAUGAUGACUAGUCCGUCUCACGUGAUGAUCGGACACGGCCUAGUUUGACUCGGAUCAUGUAUCACUUAGAUGACUAGAGGGAUGUCUAUCUGAGUGGGAGUUCAUUAAUCAGAUGAACUUAAUUAUCAUGAACAUAGUCAAAAGGUCUUUGCAAAUUAUGUCAUAGCUUACGCUUUAGUUCUACUGUUUAAGAUAUGUUCCUAGAGAAAAAUUUAGUUGAAAGUUGAUAGUAGCAAUUAUGCGGACUGGGUCCGUAAAACUGAGGAUUGUCCUCAUUGCUGCACAGAAGGCUUAUGUCCUUAAUGCACCGCUCGGUGUGCUGAACCUCAGCGUCGUCUGUAGAUGUUGCGGAACAUCUGACAUACACGUUUUGAUGACUACGUGAUAGUUCAGUGCGUAAUGCUAACGGUUUAGAAUUGUGGCACCAAAGAUGGUUUUGAAACGUCACAGAACAUAUGAGAUGUUCCGAAGACUGAAAUUGGGAUUUCAGACUAGUGCCCACGUCAAGAGGUAUGAGACCUCUGACAAGUUUCUUAAGCCUGCAAACUAAGGGAGAAAAGCUCAAUCGUUGAGCAUGUGCUCAGAUUGUCUGAGUACUGCAAUUGCUUGAAUCGAGUGGGAGUUAAUCUUCCAGAUGAGAUAGUGAUGGUUCUCCAUAGUCACUGCCACCAAGCUAUUAGAGCUUCGUGAUGAACUAUAACAUAUCAGGGAUAAACAUGAUGAUCCUUGAGCAACUCGCGAUGUUUGUCACCGCGAAAGUAGAAAUCAAGAAGGAGCAUCAAUUGUUGAUGGUUAGUAAAACCACUAGUUUCUAGAAGGGCAAGGGCAAAAGGGAUACUUCAUGAAACAACAAAUCAUUUGCUGCUCUAGUGAAGAAUCCCAAGGUUGAACCCAAACCCAAGACUAAGUGCUUCUGUAAUGAGGGGAACGGUCACUGAAGCAGAACUACCCUAGAUACUUGGUAGAUGAGAAGGUAGGCAAGGUCGACAGAAGUAUAUUGGAUAUACAUUAUAUGAAUGUGUACUUUACUAGUACUCCUAGCAGCACCAGGGUAUUAGAUACCGGUUCGGUUGCUAAGUGUUAGUAACUCGAAAUAAAAGCUGCGGAAUAAACGGAGACUAGCUAAAGGUGAGAUGACGGUAUGUGUUGGAAGUGUUUCCAAGGUUGAUGUGAUCAAGCAUCGCAUGCUCCCUCUACCAUCGAGAUUGGUGUUAAACCUAAAUAAUUGUUAUUUGGUGUUUGCGUUGAGCAUAAACAUGAUUGGAUUAUGUUUAUCGCAAUACGGUUAUUCAUUUAAGGAGAAUAAUGGUUACUCUGUUUAUUUGAAUAAUACCUUCAAUGGUCUUGCACCUAAAAUGAAUGGUUUAUUGAAUCUCGAUCGUAGUGAUACACAUGUUCAUGCCAAAAGAUAUAAGAUAGUAAUGAUAGUACCACAUACUUGUGGCACUGCCACUUGAGUCAUAUUGGUAUAAAACGCAUGAAGAAGCUCCAUGUUGAUGGAUCUUUGGACUCGCUCGUUUUUGAAAAGAUUGAGACAUGCGAACCAUGUCUAUUGGUAUAUAUGCAUGAAGAAACUCCAUGCAGAUGGAUAGUUUGGACUCACUUGAUUUUGAAUCACUUGAGACAUGCAAAUCAUACCACAUGGGCAAGAUGACUGAAAGGCCUCGUUUUCAGUAAGAUGGAACAAGAGAGCAACUUGUUGGAAGUAAUACAUUUUGAUGUAUGCAGUUCAAUGAGUGCUGAGGCAUGCAGUGGAUAUCAUUAUGUUCUUACUUCACAGAUGAUUUGAGUAGAUGCUGAGUGUAUUUACUUGAUGAAACACAAGUCUGAAUUAUUGAAAAGUUCAAGUAAUUUCGGAGUGAAGUUGAAUAUCGUCGUGACAAGAGGAUAAAAUGUCUGUGAUAUGAUCAUAGAGAUGAGUAUCUGAGUUACGAGUUUGCACACAAUUAAGAAAUUGUGGAAAUUGUUUCACGACUAAUACCGCUUGGAGCACCAUAGUGUGAUGGUGUGUCCGAACAUCAUAACUGCACCCUAUUGGAUAUGGUGCAUACCAUGAUGUCUCUUAUCAAAUUACCACUAUCGUUUAUGGGUUAGGCAUUAGAGACAACCGCAUUCACUUUAAAUAGGGCACCACACAAUUCCGUUGAGACAACACCGUUUAGAGAAACCUAAGUUGUCGUUUCUUAAAAGUUUGGGGCUGCGAUGCUUAUGUGAAAAGUUUCAGGCUAAUAAGCUCGAACCCAAAGCGGAUAAAUGCAUCUUCAUAGAAUACCCAAAACAGUUGGGUAUACCUCCUAUUUCAGAUCUGGAAGCAAAAGUAAUUGCUUCUAGAAACGAGUCCUUUCUCAAGGAAAAGUUUCUCUCGAAAGAAUUGAGUGGGAGGAUGGUGGAGACUUGAUAAGGUUAUUGAACCGUCACUUCAACAAGUGUGUAGCAGGGCACAGGAAGUUGUUCCUGUGGCACCUACACCAAUUGAAGUGGGAGCUUAUGAUAGUGAUCAUGAAACUUCGGAUCAAGUCACUAUCAAACCUCGUAGGACGACGAGGAUGCGUACUACUUCAGAGUAGUACGUGAUCCUGUCUUGGAAGUCAUGUUGCUAGAGAACAAUGAACCUACGGGCUAUGGAGAAGCGAUGGUGGGCCCGGAUUCCGACGAAUGGCUCGAGGCCAUGAAAUCCGAGAGAGGAUCCAUGUAUAAAAGCAAAGUAUAGACUUUGGAAGAAAUACUUGAUAGUCGUAAGGCUGUUGGGUGCAGAUGGAUUUUAAAAGGAAGACAGUCAAUGAUGGUAAGUGUCACCAUUAAGAAAGCUCAGCUUGUCGUUAAGAUGUUUUCUGACAAGUUCAAGGAGUUGACUACCAUGAGACUUUCUCACUCGUAGCGAUGCUAAGAGUCUGUUGGAAUUAUAUUAGCAGUUACUGCAUCAUUUAUGAAAUCUUGCAGAUAGGAUGUCAAAACAUUGUUUCCUCGACGAUUUUCUUGAGGAAAGGUUGUAUGUGAUACAACCAGAAGGUUUUGUCAAUCCUGAAAGAUGCUAACAAGUAUGCAAUGCUCCAGCAAUCCUUCUGAGGAUUGGAGUAAGCAUCUCGGAGUUGGAAUGAACGCUUUGAUAAGAUGAUCAAAGUUUUUGGGUUUAUACAAAGUUUGUUAGAAAGUUGUAUUUACAAUAAAGUGAGUGGGAGCGCUACAACAUUUCUGAUAAGUAUAUGUGAAUGACAUAUUGUUGAUCCGAAAUGAUGUAGAAUUUCUGGAAAGCAUAAAGGGUUGUUUGAAAGGAGUUUUUCAAGGGAAGACCUGGAUAAAGCUGCUUACAUAUUGGGCAUCAAGAUCUAUAGAGAUAGAUCAAGACGCCUGAUGAUACUUUCAAAGAAUACAUACCGUGACAAGAUUUUGAAGGAGUUCAAAAUAGACCAGCAAAGAAGGAGUUCUUGGCUGUGUUACAAGGUGUGAGUAUUGAGUAAGACUCAAGACCUGACCACAGCAGAAGAGAGAGAAAGGACGAAGGUCGUCCCCUAUGAUUUAAACGAAGGCUCUACAGUAUGCUAUGCUAUGUACCACACAUGAAGUGUGCCUUGCCAUGAGUUGGUCAAGGGGUACAAUAGUGAUCCGGGAAUGGAUCACAUGAUAGCGGUCGAACAUAUCCUUAGUAUCUAGUGGACUAAGGAAUUUUCUCGAUUAUGGAGGUGAAAAGGAGUUCGUCGUAAAGGGUUACGUCGAUGCAAACUUUGACACUAAUCCGGAUGACUCUGAGUAGUAAACCGGAUUCGUAUAGUAGAGCAGUUAUUUGAAAUGGCUCCAAGUAGCGCGUGGUAGCUGCAUCCACAAGAUGACAUAGAUAUUCGUAAAGCACACACGGAUCUGAAAGGUUCAGACCCGUUGACUAAUAACCUCUCUCACAAGCGAGAUAUGAACAAACCCCAUGGGUGUUGGAUUCAUUACAUUCACAUGGUGAUGUGAACUCUUGGGUAUUAAUCACAUGGCGAUGUGAACUAGAUUAUUGACUCUAGUGCAAGUGGGAGACUGUUAGAAAUAUGCCCUAGAGGCAAUAAUAAAUUGGUUAUUAUUAUAUUUCCUUGUUCAUGAUAAUCGUUUAUUAUCCAUGCUAAAAUUGUAUUGAUAGGAAACUCAGAUACAUGUGUGGAUACAUAGACAACACCAUGUCCCUAGUAAGCCUCUAGUUGACUAGCUCAUUGAUCAAUAGAUGGUUACGGUUUCCUGACCAUGGACAUUGGAUGUCGUUGAUAACAGGAUCACAUCAUUAGGAGAAUGAUGUGAUGGACAAGACCCAAUCCUAAGCCUAGCACAAGAUCGUGUAGUUCGUUUGCUAAGAGCUUUUCUAAUGUCAAGUAUCAUUUCCUUAGACCAUGAGAUUGUGCAACUCCCGGAUACCGUAGGAAUGCUUUGGGUGUACCAAACGUCACAACGUAACUGGGUGGCUAUAAAGGUGCACUACCGGUAUCUCCGAAAGUGUCUGUUGGGUUGGCACGAAUCGAGACUGGGAUUUGUCACUCCGUAUAAACGGAGAGGUAUCUCUGGGCCCACUCGGUAGGACAUCAUCAUAAUGUGCACAAUGUGACCAAGGAGUUGAUCACGGGAUGAUGUGUUACGGAACGAGUAAAGAGACUUGCCGGUAACGAGAUUGAACAAGGUAUCGGGAUACCGACGAUCGAAUCUCGGGCAAGUACUAUACCGCUUGACAAAGGGAAUUGUAUACGAGAUUGAUUGAAUCCUUGACAUCGUGGUUCAUCCGAUGAGAUCAUCGUGGAACAUGUGGGAGCCAACAUGGGUAUCCAGAUCCCGCUGUUGGUUAUUGGCCGGAGAACGUCUCGGUCAUGUCGGCAUGGUUCCCGAACCCGUAGGGUCUACACACUUAAGGUUCGAUGACGCUAGGGUUAUAGGGAAUAGAUAUACGUGGUUACCGAAUGUUGUUCGGAGUCCCGGAUGAGAUCCCGGACGUCAUCAAGAGUUCCGGAAUGGUCCGGAGGUAAAGAUUUAUAUAUGGGAAGUCCUGUUUUGGUCACCGGAAAAGUUUCGGGUGCUAUCGGUAACAUACCGGGACCACCGGGAGGGUCCCGGGGGUCCACCAGGUGGGGCCACCGGCCCCAAAGGGCUGCGUGGGCCAAGUGUGGGAAGGGACCAGCCCCUAGGUGGGCUGGUGCGCCUCCCACAAGAGGCCCAAGGCGCAGGGAAGGGGGGAAGGGGGAAACCCUAGGCUCAGAUGGGCCUAAGGCCCACCUAGGGUGCACCCCCUCUCUCCCCCCUCUGGCCGCCCCCCUAGAUGCAUCUAGGGCUGGCCGCACCCCUUGGGGGGGGGAACCCUUGAUGGGGGCGCAGCCCCUCCCCUCCCCUAUAUAUAGUGGGGGUUUUGGGGCUGCCAAGACACGAGUCUCCCUCUCUCUUGGCGCAGCCCUACCCCUCUCCCUCCUCGUCUCUCGCAGUUCUUGGCGAAGCCCUGCUGGAGUGCCACGCUCCUCCAUCACCACCAUGCCGUUGUGCUGCUGCUGGACGGAGUCUUCCCCAACCUCUCCCUCUCUCCUUGCUGGAUCAAGGCAUGGGAGACAUCACCGGGCUGCACGUGUGUUGAACGCGGAGGCGCCGUGGUUCGGCGCUUAGAUCGGAAUCAACCGCGAUCUAAAUCGCUACGACUACGACUCCUUCAUCCGCGUUCUUGCAAUGCUUCCGCUUAGCGAUCUAGAAUGGUAUGUAGAUGCACUCCCCUUCCCCUCGGUGCUAGAUUACUCCAUAGAUUGAUCUUGGUGAUGCGUAGAAAAUUUUGAAUUUCUGCUACGUUACCCAACAGACAGAAACUUUGGCUGUAGUGCACGAUUUUACAGUUUUUUACUGGAACGUCAAAUGGUUCUGAAACUUUUUGCACUGUCUUUCUAUACAAUUUUUUUAUGUUUCCUAAUUUUGGCAGAAUUUUUGGAAUACCAGAAGUAUUGUGAAUGUUCGGAUUACUACCGACUGUCCUCUUUAAGACAUAUUCUGUUUUUUAUGCAUAGUUUGCUUAUUUUGAUGAAACUAUCGAUUUCUAUCAGUGGAUUAAGCCAUGGAAAAGUUAUAUUACAGUAGCUACAGUGCAAAAAAUAUGAAUUGCUUUGCAACAGUACUUAGAGUAGUGAUUUGCUUUAUUAUACUAACGGAUCUUACCGAGCUUUCUGUUGAGUUUUGUGUAUGAAGUGUUCGAAGAUCGAGGAGGUCUCGAUAUGAGGAGAAGGAGAAGAGACAAGAGCUCAAGCUUGGGGAUGCCCAAGGCACCCCAAGUAAAUAUUCAAGGAGAUUCAAGUGUCUAAGGUUGGGGAUGCCCCGGAAGGCAUCCCAUCUUUCUUCAACAAGUAUCGGUAUGUUUUCGGAUUCAUUUCGUUCAUGCGAUAUGUGCAAAUCUUGGAGCGUCUUUUGCAUUUAGUUUUCUUUUUUCUUUAUGCACCAUGCUGGUAUGAGAUAGUCCAUGGUUGAUUUAUAGAAUGCUCUUUGCACUUCACUUAUAUCUUUUGAGUAUGGCUUUAUAGAAUGCUUCACGUGCUUCACUUAUAUCAUUUGAAGUUUGGAUUACCUGUUUCUCUUCACAUAGAAAACCGCCAUUUGUAGAAUGCUCUUUUGCUUCACUUAUAUUUGUUAGAGCGUGGGCAUAACUUUUGUUGAAAGAAUUAAGCUCUCUUUCUUCACUUAUAUCUAUUUAGAGAGUUGACAGGAAUUGGUCAUUCACAUGGUUAGUCAUAAAAUCCUACAUAAAACUUGUAUAUCACUGAAUAUGAUAUGUUUGAUUCUUUGCAAUAGUAUUGCGAUAUAAAGAUGGUGAUAUUAGAGUCAUGCUAGUGGGUAGUUGUGGAUUGUAGAAAUACUUGUGUUGAAGUUUGUGAUUCCCGUAGCAUGCACGUAUGGUGAACCGUUAUGUAACGAAGUUAGAGCAUGAGGUAUUUAUUGAUUGUCUUCCUUAUGAGUGGCAGUCGGGGACGAGCGAUGGUCUUUUCCUACCAAUCUAUCCCCCUAGGAGCAUGCGCGUAGUACUUUGUUUCGAUGACUAAUAGAUUUUUGCAGUAAGUAUGUGAGUUCUUUAUGACUAAUGUUGAGUCCAUGCAUUAUACGCCUUCUCACCCUUCCAUCAUUGCUAGCCUCUUCGGUACCGUGCAUUGCCCUUUCUCGCCUCGAGAGUUGGUGCAAACUUCGCCAGUGCAUCCAAAACCCGUGAUAUGAUACGCUCUAUCACACAUAAACCUCCUUAUAUCUUCCUCAAAACAGCCACCAUACCUACCUAUGAUGGCAUUUCCAUAGCCAUUCCGAGAUAUAUUGCCAUGCAACUUCCAUCAUCAUCAUAUACAUGACUUGAGCAUUUAUUGUCAUAUUGCUUUGCAUGAUCGUAAGAUAUCUAGCAUGAUGUUCAUUGCUACGCUAGAUCAUUGCACAUCCCGGUACACCGCCGGAGGCAUUCAUAUAGAGUCAUAUCUUUGUUCUAGUAUCGAGUUGUAAUAUUGAGUUGUAAGUAAAUAAAAGUGUGAUGAUCAUCAUUAUUAGAGCAUUGCCCCAAGAAAAAAAAGAGGCCAAAGAAGCCUAAAUAAAAAAGGGGGCCAAAGAAGGCCAGCAAAAAAAGAAGAAAAAAAAGGGCAAUGUUACUAUCCUUUUACCACACUUGUGCUUCAGAGUAGCACCAUGUUCUUCAUAUAGAGAGUCUCUUGAGUUAUCACUUUUAUAUACUAGUGGGAAUUUUCAUUAUAGAACUUGGCUUGUAUAUUCCGAUGUUGGGCUUCCUCAAAUGCCCGAGGUCUUCAUGAGCAAGCAAGUUGGAUGCACACCCACUUAGUUUCCGGUUUGAGCUUUCAUACACUUAUAGCUCUUAGUGCGUCCGUUGCAUGACAAUCCCCAGUCCUCACAUUGACAUCAAUUGAUGGGCAUCUCCGUAGCCCGUUGAUUAGCCGCGUCGAUGUGAGACUUUCUUCCUUUUUGUCUUCUCCACACAACCUCUACCAUCAUAUUCCAAUCCACCUAUACUGCUAUGUCCAUGGCUCACGCUCAUGUAUUGCGUGAAAGUUGAAAAGGUUUAAGAACAUCAAAAGUAUGAAACAAUUGCUUGGCUUGUCAUCGGGGUUGUGCAUGAUUUGAAUAUUUUGUGUGGUGAAGAUGGAGCAUAGCCAGACUUAUAUGAUUUUGUAGGGAUAACUUUUUUUGGCCAUGUUAUUUUGAAAAGACAUGAUUGCUUUAUUAGUAUGCUUGAAGUAUUAUUGUCUUAAUGUCAAAUGAUAGACAAUUGAUUUGAAUCACUCGUGUCUUAAUAUUCAUGCCAUGAUUAGAUUACUUGAUCAAGAUUAUGCUAGGUAGCAUUCCACAUCAAAAAUUAUCUUUUUUAUCAUUUACCUACUCGAGGACGAGCAGGAAUUAAGCUUGGGGAUGCUGAUACGUCUCCGUCGUAUCUAUAAUUUUUUAUUGUUCCAUGCCAAUAUUAUACAACUUUCAUAUACUUUUGGCAACUUUUUAUAAUAUUUUUGGGACUAACAUAUUGAUCCAGUGCCCGGUGCCAGUUCCUGUUUGUUGCAUGUUUUUUUUUCCGCAGAAAAUCCAUAUCAAACGGAGUCCAAACGGGAUAAAAACUGAUGGAGAUUUUUUUGGAAUAUAUGUGAUUUUUGGGAAGAAGAAUCAACGCGAGACGAUGCUCGAGGGGGCCACGAGGUAGCGGGGUGCGCCCUGGGCCCUCGUGGCCACCCCUUAAGGCGGUUGGUGCCCUUCUUUCGCAGCAACAAAGCAAAUAUCUAGAUAGAGAUCGUGUCCAAACUUUAGCCCAAUCGGAGUUACGGAUCUCCGGGAAUUUAAGAAACGGUGAAAGGGCAGAAUCAGGGACCGCAGAAACAGAGAGAGACAGAGAGACAGAUCCAAUCUCGGAGGGUCUCUCGCCCCUCCCACGCCAUGGAGAUCAUGGACCAGAGGGGAAACCCUUCUCCCAUGUUGGGAGAAGGUCAAGGAAGAAGAAUAAGAAGACAUGGGGCUCUCUCCCCCUCGCUUCGGGUGGCACUGGAGUGCCGCCGGGGCCAUCAUCGUCACCGCAAUCUUCACCAACAACUUCACCGCCGUCAUCACCAACUCUUCCCCCCUCUAUGCAGCGGUGUAACCCCUCUUUUACCUGCUGUAAUCUCUACUUAAACAUGGUGCUCAACGCUAUAUAUUAUUUCGCAAUGAUGUAUGGCUUUCCUAUGAUGUUUGAGUAGAUCCGUUUUGUCUUAUGGGUUAAUUGAUGAUCGUGAUUGGUUUGAGUUGCAUGUUUUAUUAUUGGUGCUGUCCUAUGGUGCUCUCCGAGUCGCACAAGCGUGAGGGAUCCCCGCUGUAGGGUUUGCAAUAUGUUCAUGAUUUGCUUAUGGUGGGUGGCGUGAGUGACAGAAGCACAUACCCGAGUAAGUAGGUUGUUUGCGUAUGGGAAUAAAGAGGACUUGAUACUUUAAUGCUAUGGUUGGGUUUUACCUUAAUGAUCUUUAGUAGUUGCGUAUGCUUGCUAGAGUUCCAAUCAUAAGUGCAUAUGAUCCAAGAAGAGAAAGUAUGUUAGCUUAUGCCUCUCCCUCAAAUAAGAUUGCACUAAUGAUUACCGGUCUAGUUAUCGAUUGCCUAGGGACAAAUAACUUUCUUGUUGACAAAAUCUCUCUACUAAAACUAACUUAGUUGUGUCUUCUUCUAAACAGCCCCUAGUUUUUAUUUACGCGCUCUUUAUUAUCUUGCAAACCUAUCCCACAACACCUACAAAGUACUUCUAGUUCAUACUUAUUCUAGGUAAAGCGGACAUUAAGCGUGCGUAGAGUUGUAUCGGUGGUCGACAGAACUUGAGGGAAUAUUUGUUCUACUUUAGCUCCUCGUUGGGUUUGACACUCUUACUUAUCGAAAGAGGAUACAAUUGAUCUCCUAUACUUGUGGGUUAUCAAGAUAGAUCUCCCCGGCAACGGCGCCAGAAAUUCUUCCUGCUAGUUCUUGAGCUUGCGUUGGUUUUUUCCUUGAAGAGGAAAGGGUGAUGCAGCAAAGUAGAGAUAAGUAUUUUCCUUAGUUAGAGAACCAAGGUAUCAAUCCAGUAGGAGACAACGCACAAAUCACCAAUACUGGCACAAACAAUCAAACAACUUGCACCCAACGCGAUAAAGGGUUUGUCAAUCCCUUCACGGUUAUUUGUAAAAGUGAGAUCUGAUAGAGAUAAAUGAAGCUAAACAAAAGAUAAAGUAAAUACUUUUGGGGUUUUUGGUUUAUAGAUCUGAAAGUAAAAGAUUGCAAAAUAGGAGAUCAAAAACUUAUAUGAUGGAAAAUAGACCCGGGGGCCAUAGGUUUCACUAAAGGCUUCUCUCAAGAUAGCAAAUAAUACGAUGGGUGAACAAAUUAUGGUCGAGCGUUUGAUAGAAAAGUGCAAAGUUAUGAUGAUAUCUAAGGCAAUGAUUAUGAAUAUAGGCAUCACGUCCGUGUCAAGUAGAUUGACUCCUGCCUGCAUCUACUACUAUUACUCCACACAUCGACCGACUCUUGCCUGCAUCUAGAGUAUUAAGUCCAUGAAGCACAGAGUAACACAUAAAAUAAGAUGACAUGAUGAAGAGGAAUAAACUCAAGCAAUAUGAUGUAAACCCCAUCUUUUUAUCCUUGAUGGCAACAAUACAAUACGUGCCUUGUUUCCCCUACUGUCACUGCGAAAGGACACCGCAAGAUUGAACCCAAAGCUAAGCACUUCUCCCAUUGCAAGAAAAACCAAUCUAGUUGGCCAAACUAAACCGAUAGUUCGAAGAGAAUUACAAAGAUAUCAAAUCAUGCAUAUAAGAAUUCAGAGAAGAUUCAAAUAAUAUUCAUAGAUAAGCUGAUCAUAAAUCCACAAUUCAUGAGAUCUCGACAAACACACUGCAAAAGAAGAUUACAUCGGAUAGAUCUCCAAGAAUAUCAAGGAGAACAUGGUAUUGAGAAUCAAAGAGAGAGAAGAAGCCAUCUAGCUACUAGCUAUGGACCCGUAGGUCUGAGGUAAACUACUCACGCUUCAUCGGAAGGGCAAUAGAGUUGAUGUAGAAGCCCUCCGUGAUCGAAUCCCCCUCCGGCACGAUGCCGAAAAAGGCCCCUAGAUGGGAUCUCACAGGUACAGAAGGUUGCUGCGGUGGAAAAGUGUUUUCGUGGAUGCUUCUGGUGGUUUGGGGAUAUACGUGAAUAUAUAGGAUGAAGAAGUAGGUCGGUGGAGUCACGUGGGGCCCACAAGGCAGGGGCGGCCCUCCCCCCUUGUGGCCGCCUCGUGGCUCUUCCAACUUGAUCUCCAAGUCUCCUGGGUGUCUUCUGGUCCAAGAAAAAUCAUCGCGAAGGUUUUAUUCCGUUUGGACUCCAUUUGGUAUUCCUUCUCUGCGAAGCUCAAAAACAAGGAAAAAACAGAAACUAGCUUUCGGCUCUAGGUUAACAGGUUGGUCCCAAAAAUAAUAUAAAAUAGCAUAUUAAUGCAUAUAAAACAUCCAAAACAGAUAAUAUAAUAGCAUGGAACAAUCAAAAAUUAUAGAUACGUUGGAGACGUAUCACAUACUAAUAAGGCAAUCAUGUCUUCUCAAAAUAACAUGGCCAAAGAAAGUUAUGUGUACAAAAUCAUAUAGUCUGGCUAUGCUCCAUCUUCACCACACAAAGUAUUUCAUCAUCCACAACCCUGAUGACAAGCCAAACAAUUGUUUCGUACUUUUAAUGUUCUCAGGCCUUUUCAACUUUCACGCAAACAUGAGCGUGAGCCAUGGAUAUAGCACUAUAGGUGGAAUAGAAGGUGGUUGUGAGGAGAAGAAAAAAAAGGGAGAAAGUCUCACAUCAACUAGGUAAAUUAAUGGGCUAUGGAGAUGCCCAUCAAUCGAUAUCCAUGCAAGUGAGUAGGGAUUGCCAUGCAACGGAUGCACUAGAGCUAUAAGUGUAUGAAAGCUCAAACUGAAAACUAAGUGGGUGUGCAUCCAACUUGCUUGCUCAUGAAGACCUUGGGCAUUCGAGGAAGCCCAUCAUCGGAAUAUACAAGCCAAGUUCUAUAAUGAAAAAUUCCCACUAGUAUAUGAAAGUGACAACAUAGGAGACUCUCUCUAUGAAGAACAUGGUGGUACUUUGAAGCACAAGUGUGGUAAAAGGAUAGUAGCAUUGCCCGUUCUCUCUUUCUCUCAUUUUUUUUUGUUUUUUUGGCCCUCUAUUUUUUUGGCCACUUUUUUUUUCGUCCGGAGUCUCAUCCCGACUUGUGGGGGAAUCACAGUCUCCAUCAUCCUUUCCUCACUGGGGCAAUGCCCUAAUAAUGAUGAUCAUCACACUUUUAUUUACUUACAACUCAAGAAUUACAACUCGAUACUAGAACAAAAUAUGACUCUAUAUGAAUGCCUUCGGCGGUGUACCGGGAUGUGCAAUGACUCAAGAGUGACAUGUAAAAAAAUUAUGAAUGGUGGCUUUGCCUCAAAUACUAUGUCAAGUACAUGAUCAUGCAAAGCAAUAUGACAAUGAUGAAGCGUGUCAUAAUAAAUGGAACGGUGGAAGUUGCAUGGCAAUAUAUCUCGGAAUGGCUAUGGAAAUGCCAUAAUAGGUAGGUAUGGUGGUUGUUUUGAGGAAGGUAUAUGGGGUGUAUGGUACCGGCGAAAGUUGCGCGGUACAAGAGAGGUUAGCAAAGGUGGAAGGGUGAGAGUGCAUAUAAUCCAUGGACUCAACAAUAGUCAUAAAGAACUCACAUACUUAUUGCAAAAGUCUAUUAGCUAUCGAAACAAAGUACUACACGCAUGCUCCUAGGGGGAUAGAUUGGUAGGAAAGGACCACCGCUUGUCCCCGACCGCCACUCAUAAGGAAGACAAUCAAAAAAUAAAUCAUGCUCCUACUUCGUUACAUAACGGUUCACCAUACGUGCAUGCUACGGGAAUCACAAACUUUUAACACAAGUAUUUCUACCAAUCAACAAUUACUUACUAGCAUGACUCUAAUAUCACCAUCUUUAUAUCACAAAACUAUUGCAAGAAAUCAAACAUAUCAUAUUCAGUGAUCCACAAGUUUUUAUGUAGAAUUUUAUGACUAACCAUGUGAAUGACCAAUUCCUGCCAACUCUCUAAAUAGAUAUAAGUGAAGCAAGAGAGUUUAAUUCUUUCUACAAAAGAUAUGCCCACGCUCUAAAAAAUAUAAGUGACGCAAAAGAGCAUUCUACAAAUGGCGUUUUCUAUGUGUAGGGAAACAUGCAAUCCAAACUUCAAAUGAUAUAAGUGAAGCACAUGAAGCAUUCUAUAAAGCCAUACUCAAAAGAUAUAAGUGAAGUACAAAGAGCAUUCUAUAAAUCAACCAAGGACUAUGUCAUACCAGCAUGGUGCAUUAUUAAAAGAAAAAGAAAAAGGCACUCGACGCUCCAAGAUUUACGCAUAUCAUGUGACGAAUAAAAAUAUAGCUCCAAGUAAAAUUACCAAUGAGCAUUAGAAGAAAGAGGGGAUGCCUUUCGGGGCAUCCCCAAGCUUAGUUGCUUGGGAGUCCUUGAAUAUUACCUUGGGGUGCCUCAAGCAUCCCCAAGCUUAGGCUCUUGCCACUCCUUAUUCCUUCACCCAUCAUGAUCUCACCCAAAACUUGAAAACUUCAAUCACACAAAUCUUAACAAAACCCUCGUGAGAUCCGUUAGUAUAAUGAAACAAAUCACCACUUUAAGUACUGUUGCAAACCCAUUCAUAUUUUAUUUUUGCAUUAUAACUAUUGUACUCUAACUUCUCCAUGGCUUAUACAAUGAUAAAGUCCACAGUUUCAUCAAAACUAGCAAAACAAUGUAUCAAAAACAGAAUCUGUCUUAAACAGGACAAUCUGUAGCAAUCUGAACAUCUACCAAACUUCUGUACCUCCAAAAAUUCUGAAACAUUAGAAAAAAAUAAAAAAUUUGCAUAGCAGUAUUGUGUAAAAAUUUCAGAAACAUUUGACGUUCGAGUAAAGAAUGAAAAUUCACGCGCUACAGCCAAAGUUUCUAUUUUUGCACUGCACAUACCAAACAAGCAAUCUAAUCAUUUUAAAGGCAAAUCUUGGAACAUUAUUUUUAAAAUACAAUGGAUUUAUACAAGGGGAUAAUUAUUUUUGUUGUAAUUAAUAUUCACAAAGUUUCCAUGGGCAUGAACAAAGUUCAAGGACGUCUGCCACUUCAACGGUGUUCGUCUUUCUCACUUUCACUUUUCUUUUUUAAAAGUUUUAGGUUCCCCUCUAUAUUUUUUUUGUUUUUAAACUUUAUAAAAGCACACAACAGAAAUAAAUGACUCUCUAAAACUUCCGGGUUGUCUCCCUGGCAGCGCUUUCUUUAAAGCCAUUAAGCUAGGCAUAAAGUGCUCAAGUAAUGGAUCCACCCGGAUCCCAAGGUAUAUCAAAGCCAAUUUUAAUUAACAAUGAUUUGUGAUUUAGUAGUGAGCACAAAGUAUAAUAUAUCAUGCAACAACAAAGUCUAACUCUCUUCCUAUGCAUCGGCAUGUCAUAAAAGAACAAUUCAUGCACACAAAGUAAAGGCCAAUGCAUAGUAUAAACAGUUUGUUGCAAUUUUGUCGUGUUGGAAACAUAGAGAGGCGGAGAUGUAGUUCCUCUAUCGUAAUAAUUGCAAGUAGGAGCAUCAAGAACAUGCAUAUUAUAUUUAUCAAAAUCAUCAUGUGUAGUAGUAAAACGCAACCCAUCAAUAUAAUCCUUAAUAAGCGCAAACUUCUCCGAUAUAGUGUAGUUGGGAGAAUUCAAAAAGAUAAUAGGACUAUCAUGCGUGGUUGCAAUAGCAACAAUUUCAUUUUUAACAUAAUAACUAUAGCAAGUUCAUCUCCAUAAGCAUAAUUCAUAUUGGCAUCAUGGCCACAAGCAUAGCAAGCAUCAAGUUCAUCAAAAAGGGAUAUUUCAAACGAAUUCAAGGGAUCAUAGCAAUCAUCAUAGCAAUCAUCCUUCGGUAAGCACGAAGGGAAAUUAAACAAUGUAUCAGUUGAAGAGUUACUCUCAUUAGAAGGUGGGCACGGGUGAUCAAUCCGCUCUUCCUCCUUUUGUUCUUCGCUCUCCUCGUCAUCUUUUUCAUCUAAUGAGCACACAAUUUUAUCAAUUUCUUCUUCCAUAGAUUCCUGCAAAAUAUUAGUCUCUUCUCGGACAACGGAGACUUUCUCAAUAAAUGCAUCAAUAUUGGAAUUAUAAACAUAAUUCUGAUAGCAAUAUUUAAGUAUAGCAUAAUUUUCAAGUAUGUAAACAGCAUCAUCAUAGUUUUCACACUUUCCGAACAAAGAUUGAAUUUCAUAAGCACCCUUAAAAGCAAUGAUUUCUUCUAUUCAUUCCACACCAUAGUAAUCAUAUAUACCAUUAACAUAAGAAGCCAAGGUUUUAUUAUCACUAAAUUUACAUGAAAAGGGAAGGUGUGGAGCCUUCAUCCUAGAGCAACAAGUAUAAUUAUAUCUCAAUCAUAAAUUCCAAGCAUACCAAUGCAACAUAUGAAUUUAAUCCCAUAACACUUUCCCUUUUUGAGUCAAGCGAUAACCCCUAAAGUAUUCACGCUGAUCCAAUGUGUCUCCCAUUAUAUAUUUGAAUGGGGUUUUCUCAGGAUUAUUAAAGCAGUGCAUAAUAUCUUUCACAUAAUGAGCAUCGAUGGUUUUAGGAGGUUCCCCAUCUCCAUGAGUAGCAAGUACACCUAAUUUUUUGGUAUUUCGUGCUCCAUAUCCAUAACUAAAGAUAGAGAACAACUUAGAAUAGCAAAUAAAAUCUACUAAGUGAUAAAGCAAACAAGCACACACGAGAAUAUUCACCCCACGCUCUCCCCGGCAACGGCGCCAGAAAAAGGUCUUGAUAACCCACAAGUAUAGGGGACCAGCUAUAGCCUCUUUCGAUAAGUAAGACUGUCGAACCCAAUGAGGAGCUAAAGGUAGAACAAAUAUUCCCUCAAGUUCUAUCGACCACCGAUACAACUCUACACAUGCUUAAUGUUCGCUUUACCUAGAACAAGUAUGAAACUAGAAGUACUUUGAAGGUGUUGUAGGAUAGGUUUGCAAGAUAAUAAAGAGCACAUAAAUACAAUCUAGGGGUUGUUUAGAUAAAGAAACAACUACGUUAGUUUUAUAGGAGAGCUUUUUGUCACAAGAAAGUUAUUUGUCCCUAGGCAAUUGAUAACUAGAUCGGUAAUCAUUAUUGCAAUUUUAUAUGAGGGAGAGGCAUAAGCUAACAUACUUUCUCUUCUUGUAUCAUAUGCACUUAUGAUUGGAACUCUAGCAAACAUCCCUAACUACUAAAGAUCAUUAAGGUAAAACCCAACCAUAGCAUUAAAGUGUCACGACCGGUUUUCCAAUAAAAUAACUAUUGAGAAACCGAUCCCUUUUACGGACCAGUAGAGAAGAAUUCCUUCUCACGGGUAGAAAAUUUCUUGAUCACAGAAGAAAAAUACCAGGAGUACUAAAUAUAAUACAAGGUUGAGCGGAGACUGCUCAACAAUUUAUUACAAACACGCCAAUAAUACUUAAAGGCGGAUAGGGUGGCCUAACUACUAACUCACGAUAAAGCGGUGGUGGAAAAAUAUCACAGCGGAGAGGGUGACAAGACUCCUGAAUCUAACAACUCUUCGAGCGUCGGAGUGAGGCUCGAGGAUACUUAUUUUGGGUGGCGGAAGCGUAUAUAAUACAAGUGACCAAUAUCCAGGAUCGCACGGGACUGACUGGGACUCCUCUAGGCGUCGGACUCACUAUCAAACUCUUCAUCCAUGAGAUCGCCUUCGUCAACAUCUGGCCAAAUCAACAAGCCAGGUGAGUACUAUGAAAGUACUCGCAAGACAGUUCGGACAUAAGAUAUAACAAAUGUAAACAUGAAUGCGUAUGAACAGAUUAACAAGCGCAUCAGACAAUGAGGUAAUAAUGCAUGGGAAAUAAAAGGGAAGUCGGGCGGUAGUCCUCCCGAAAUCCCAAAGCAAUACUGAGGGCCAAACGAGUGUCUGAAUGACUCCUCGAGAGGAAACAAAAGAAAUAACAAUGCCGCAGUCGGGCGUCAAGGCGACACCACAUAAAGGGCUUAUAAUAGAAUAUAAAUGACAGUGCGUGCCACAGUCGGACGUCUGAGUGACAUCUCAUAAAGGGCUUAUAAUAAAAGUAAAUGACAAGAGUGCCACAGUCGGACGUCUGAGCGACAUCGCAUAAAGGGCUUAUAUUGAAAGUAAAAGACAAACAUGCCACAGUCGGACGUCUAAGCAACAUCGCAUAAAGGGCUUAUAUUGAAAAUAAAAGACAAACAUGCCACAGUCGGACGUCUGAGCGACAUCGCAUAAAGGGCUUAUAUUUCAUAACUUGAUAUCUCAGUAGCUCAAGAAUUUAAAUCAUUUCAAGGGCAUAAUCAGGUAUGAAAUAAGCAACAGGGUUAGUCCAACCACGGAGUAACGUUCAACCAAUUUACCACUCAAACUUGUUCACCGGGGAAAAUAUCACGAGAAUUUGACAUAGAUAUGGAUACACUGGUCACGGUCCUUGACCAUGGAUACGAUGACUCGGAAAGAUUUGACUCUGCAGAGUUUGUACUUUAACCACAGCCAACGGAUUUCAGUAGUCACUGGGACUAGUUCCGUUUACGGUGUUUUAGGAGAAAACACGUCUAACCAGUACACACCCAUUCAACAUUCCGAAGCCAGGAAUCACCCUCGGCAACGUUCAAGAAAAACUUUGAGACGGGGAGGCUACAAUCUCGCGUAGCAUGGGAUCAAAUUUAUAUACGCGCGCUCUAAGGGGUGCCCCCCUCUCGGUCCCAACCGGAAACACCCAUGCCCCCUGACCGGAUGACUGGCUUUAAUCCAGGGCCAUGGAACCCUCAUCCCGGCCCCUCCAAUUGGUGUGUACACGGAAAGAGGUUAUCAACUUACUAAACCGUAUCCUUUGCAGAAAACAUGUGGUAGCACGAAAGGGGAAGAACGGUAACGUGACUCAGUCCACGUUAACGUCGGAGUUUAUCGGACGUCGUAAGGCUGGCAUGCUACAACAAUACCACAUUACUGCCUUUCAUGUCACCACAUGACUAGGCCAUCUCUCAUCAGAGAUCACCGUAACUUCGGAACACACGGAUAGUUGCCUCACAUGCAACGAGAUACUCACUGAUGCUCAUAUGCCAUGCACAAACCAUUCAAGCAAACAUGCAAAACACCUAUCAUAUCAAAGGUUCAAACAUGCUUGCCUGGUUCGGAGAAGUCGGAGUCUAGCUCGGCGAAGUUCGCGGCUCCGUCACCUCUUCCGGAACCUACGGUAUAGCGAAAACGUAUACUAACGUGAAAAUCAUCGCGUGCAUAAAAGUUGUCCCAAAUUUUUUCCAAAUAAAUUCUGUAAAAAACUAGACAAAAAUAUAAGACUGACAGAAAAAGAAUCACUCAAAAAUCAUCUUUUAUUAAAAAUUUAUAAGGGUUUUAGUUCAGGGACUAAUCUAUGAUGAAACAGAAAAGAUCCAGGGACUUAACUGAGAAAACAGAAAAUGGUUCGGAGUAAAAGACGUCAGCCCAAAGGGAAAACGUAUUUGCCCGAAGGCGCCAACAGAAAACGGUUCGAGGGGAAAAAGAAUAGAGGCUGACGGGGGGGGGUCCACAUGUCAGGUUUGAAAACCUCGCCGGCGCCCGAAGGGUGCGGUGGUCGCCGGUGUUGAACCACGGCGAGACAGGGAGAUCGGAGGGUACCAAGAGGUUCAGCGUGUCCUUCCGCGUCGGUGGGUGGUGGACUUGGUCGUCGGAGAGCACCACGUCGACGGCGACACUUUCUUCGGCGGACGGUGGUUCGGGCGAUGGUGGAGAACUCCGGUGGGUGCUGCAAACUCCAAAUUGAAGUGCGGGUUAGAAGGGUGGAUGCAUUAGAGGGCUACUGGAAAGAGCUGAUGGUUAGAGGUGCACGCACGGGAGCGAAUCGAGCUGGGUCCCGUGGCGGGUCGCGGCGGCCGGAGUUGGGGAAGAAGGCUCCCUCGGGGCUCUUCCAGUGGCUAGGCGUGGUGUUGGAGGUGUGUAGAGGUGGUGUGGGUUCGAGUUUGAGCUCGGGGCCUCUAUUUAGAGGCGAUCCGAGGGGGUGGCCGUGAACGGGAAAUCUCCGGCGAGCGAUUACGGCGAGGCAGUGGUUGGGCAGUGGGUUUAGGAGGCUAGGCACCGUCAGUGAGAGUUACUGGUCCCGUUCCGCUGCUAAACUUGGUCGGGCUUGGCGUAAUAGCGCCGGUCCUCGACGGGGCAGCCGUACAGGCACGGCGCGGCAGAGAGCGCGCUCCGCGCCUAGCGGUUCUCGAUGAGGGUGGCAGCGCGCACGGGGGAGUGGAUGGCCACGCGGCGGCCUCCGGUGGCUUGGGCGGCGCUGGGCGGCGCCGUCCACGCUGCGCCUCUCUCUGGCGGCCGCAAAGCCGCUGCUGCCGUCGCUCACGGGGUGGCGCACUACCUCCUGCUCGUCGCCGACGCCCGCAAGCCUCCAGGCGAUCGUGCGGCGCAGAGGAUAAGGAGGAGGGGACAGGGAGCAAGGCGCCACCGCGGCACUGUCGAGAUCGACAACAAGUUCUGAAGAAAACGACAGUGUUCUCUGAAACUGUUUAUCUGAAUUUCUGAACAUGACAUUGACAGUGCUCUGCAGGUGUUCGAUGAAAUGAUUUGGCAAGGAGAAACUUUUUUCUGGAGCUGGGACUUGGUGAGGUGACCUCUCAAUGCACCCAGAGGCUGCCUGAAUUUUCUCAGAUUUUUAGGAGGAGGAUUCAAAUGAAUUUCAUCAAAUUUGGCAAAUGAGGUCCAAACUUGCAGCAAGUAUAAUUUGAAAAUUUUGAACUGGAGACCAGUGGAUCUUCAUGGAUCCUGGUUGAGGGUUCAAAGGACUAGCUAGGGAAAUUGGUUUGGAGAUAAAACUCAAAGCAGAAAGGGUAGCUCCUUUGUAAAUCUCCAAGAGCUAGAAUAGAAGGCAGAAAUAAUUUUUGAUAAGAAAUAAAUGGAAACAAAUAUAUGGAGAGGUUCAACUUGCUGGAUUUGAUGUAUAUCAUGAUCCAAAGAUGAGGAAAGGCUUUUGGGAGGGGAUUUCCACUCAUGUCAUGGCAAGAGGGAUUUUUGAAAAAGGGGAGAAGAUCACUCCAAAAGCCAUAGGGCUAUUUAAAAUAUUUUCAAAAGAAAAUUUCCCAAGUGGAAAGCAUUUGGUUUUGAGUCCAAAUGAGAAGGGAAAAACCUCCAAGAUCAAAAACCAAGUCUUGGGUGAAUCCAAAUGAAACAGUUGUCAUAAAAGGAAAUAUUUUGAGAGGGAGAGUACUUCAGAAAAUUUUUAAAUGCCCUCCCUCAAAUCCAAUAAAAGUUUGAAAAAGCCAAAUAAAAUUUUGGGUGUCACAACACCUACCCCCUUAGGAAAAAUCUCGUCCUCGAGAUUUCUGCUGAUCCUUAAAUAGAUAUGGAUACUCUGCCUGGAGAAAAUCUUCUCUUUCCCAUGUAGCUUCAUCCUCGGUGUGGUUGCUCCACUGAACCUUGAAAUUUUUUGUUGUUUUCUGAUGGGUCCUCCUUUCAGACUCUUCCAAUAUCUUCACUGGCCGUUCUCUGUAGGUGAGGUCUGGUUGCACAUCAAUGCUCUCAUGAGAUACAUGCUUCUCCGGGUUGUUCACACAUUUCCUCAACUGUGAGACGUGAAACACGUCGUGGACGUCUGACAGCUCUUUGGGUAGGUCUAGCUGGUAGGCUACCGUGCCCCUUCGGGCAAUUAUACAGAAGGGCCCAAUAAAUCUUGGGGCUAGCUUCCCCUUAAUUUUGAACCGUUGCAGGCCCCUCAUAGGAGACACUCGUAGGUAUACGGAGUCACCGGGUUCAAAGCUGACCUCACGAUGUUUUUGAUCGUAAUAGCUCUUUUGUCGGCUUUGAGCUGUCUUGAGUCUGUCCCUAAUCUGUUUAACUUUCUCCUCGGCCUCCUUGAGCGUGUCUGGGCCGAAGAUACGACUGUCACCUGUCUCUGACCAAUUUAGUGGGGUACGACACCCCCGUCCGUACAAUGCUUCAAAUGAUGCCAUUUGUAAGCUGGCUUGGUAACUGUUGUUGUAAGCAAACUCGGCAUAUGGUAAACUCUCUUCCCAACUGGAUCCAUAGGUGAGCACACAGUCUCUCAGCAUGUCCUCUAGGAUUUGGUUCACGCGUUCCGUUUGUCCAUCAGUCUGAGGGUGGUACGCUGUACUGAAAGCUAGUUGCGUGCCCAGAGCUUGUUGCAGAUGAUCCCAAAAUUUAGAGACAAAUUGAGUGCCUCGGUCGGAUAUUAUAGUCUUUGGGACUCCAUGCAAACAAACUAUACGAGAGAGAUAAAGCUUGGCAAGUCUUUGAGUGGAGUAGGUCGUCUUCACGGGAAUGAAAUGUGCUACCUUGGUUAGCCUAUCUGUGAUGACCCAUAUGGCAUCAUUUCCGCGUUGCGAUCGAGGUAGUCCGACGAUGAAGUCCAUUCCAAUUUCAUCCCAUUUCCACUCCGGUAUCCUGUUUGGCUGGAGUAGCCCUGCUGGCUUUUGAUGCUCGGCUUUUAUGCGUUGGCAAGAAUCGCAACAAGCAAUGAAUGCGGCUAUAUCCCUUUUCAUACCGUGCCACCAAAAUCCUUCCUGAAUGUCUUUGUACAUUUUGGUUCCUCCAGGGUGGAUCGAGUAUGGAGCGGUGUGGCUUUCGGUUAGGAUUUGCUGCUUGAGUUCCUCAAUGUUAGGUACGCAAAGUCUAUCCCCGUACCAUAAUAUUCCUUCACUGUUUGUGACGAACUCUGAAGCCUUGCCAAGAUUCAUUUUCCUCUUUAUACCCUCGAUGCUGGGAUGUCCCUGCUGAGCCUUCUUAAUUUGUUCCACUAGGGUGGGUUGUAUCUCCAGAUUUGAUACGGUGCCCUCAGAGACUAACACCGUGUUGAGUCUAGCGAACUCCUGCUGAAACUCAGGCCUCAAGUUCUGUGGACUGUCGCUGCUCGGGCUGGGGUUCCGACUAAGGGCAUCUGCCACUACAUUUGCUUUCCCUGGAUGGUAGUGAAUGCCGACAUCAUAGUCCUUGACCAAUUCCAACCAGCAUCGUUGGCGUAAAUUUAGCUCUGGUUGUGUGAAAAUAUAUUUAAGGCUCUUAUGGUCCGUAUAUAUUUCACAACGAUUUCCCAACAGAAAGUGCCUCCACUCCUUGAGUGCAUGGAUGACCGUUGCUAGCUCCAAGUCAUGAGUUGGAUAAUUUUCCUCAUGCUUCCGUAGUUGUCUGGAAGCAUACGCGACAACUUUGCCAUCCUGCAUCAGCACACAUCCGAGGCCCUUUCGAGAUGCGUCACAAUACACUUCAAAACUCUUGUGUAUGUCCGUCACAGUUAAGACCGGUGCAGUUGUUAGUUUCUCCUUGAGUUCUUGGAAGCUUUUCUUGCAUGCUUCCGUCCAUACAAAUUUCUUGUCUUUCUUGAGCAACUGUGUCAUUGGUUUUGCCACAGUGGAGAAUCCUUCAAUAAAUCUUCUGUAAUAUCCGGCCAUUCCAAGGAAACUCCGUACAUCUGUCACGUUGGCCGGUGGUUUCCAGUCAAGUAUGGCCUUGACUUUUUCUGGGUCUACGGCCACGCCUUCUUGGUUUAAUAUAUGGCCUAGGAAACCAACUUGCCUUAGCCAAAAUUCACACUUGCUAAAUUUCGCGUACAAUUGAUGUUUCCUUAAUUCUCCCAAAACAAUUCUGAGAUGCUCAGCAUGCUCUUCUGGUGUCCUUGAGUAUACUAGAAUAUCAUCAAUGAAUACCACAACAAAUUUGUCCAUGAAUUUCAUAAACACUUUGUUCAUGAGGUGGACGAAAUAUGCGGGGGCGUUCGUUAGUCCAAAUGGCAUUACUGUGAACUCAUAUAAUCCAUAUCUGGAGGUGAAUGCUGUUUUAGGGAUAUCUUCUGUCCGUACUUUUAAUUGAUGAUAUCCCGAUCUUAAAUCAAUUUUUGAGAACACCUUGGCUUGAGCGAGCUGGUCAAACAAAUCAUUUAUCCGUGGCAUCGGAUAUUUGUUUUUGAUGGUGACCAUAUUGAGAGCUUGAUAGUCUAUACACAAUCUCAGUGUCCCAUCCUUUUUCUUGGCGAAUAAUACUGGCGAUCCCCAAGGUGAGGAGCUGGCUCGAAUAAAUCCCUUGUCCAGUAAUUCCUUUAUCUGUUUCUUCAAUUCUACCAAUUCUGAGGGCCCAUUCUAUAAGGUUUCUUAUAGAUGGGAGUGGUGCCAGGUGCUAGUUCAAUGCUGAACUCUAUCUCUCGGUCUGGUGGCAUGCCUGGUAGUUCUUCAGGGAAUACGUCAGGAAACUCGCACACCACUGGAACUUUUCUCAGUUCUGAAAUGUCCACUUUGUUCAAUUUUGGUUGCCGUGACCGUGGUCUCUCUUGAGCUGUAACCUUUAUUGUCUUGCCGUGAUGAUGGGUGAGAAUCACAGUCCGAUUGAAACAAUCAAUAAAUCCCUUAUUGGUGGUCAACCAGUCCAUCCCUAGGAUGACAUCCAGUCCUUUAUUUUCCAACACGAUGAGAUUAGCUUGGAACUUGAGUCCUUCGAACUCAAUGAUCACUCCUUGGCAGUAACUCUGAGCGAUCUGCUUAUUUCCGGGGGACUUGAUGAUCAUAGAUUUUUCCAAAGGAAGUAUCGGAAAACCAUGUUACAAAACAAAACUCUUCGAAAUGAACGAGUGAGAAGCUCCAGAAUCAAACAAAACCGUGGCAGGUACUGUGUUGACAGGGAACGUACCGAGCACGAUGUCUGGGGCAUUCUGCGCUUCUUCUCUGGUCACAUGGUUCAGGUGACCCUUCCUGUGGUUGUUGUUGGGAUUGAAAUUGUUGCGCUUGGGGGCUGGAUUGUUCCCACCAUUGUUCGGUUUGGGGGCCGAGUUCCUUGGUUUUGGGCACUGUUUGGCAUAGUGCCCUUCUUCACCACAAGCAUAGCAAGUGACCCCUGGAUGGUAUGUAAAGUCCUUGUCCCUGGAAUGAAACUGUCUGGUUGGCCUUAGAUCAGUAGUCGUGGAUUUUCUUGCUUCAACCCUCUGAACAUCAGUCUUGCUUCGGUUGUUGCGAGCAAGAGUCAUCUUGUCCCUCUUUCGCUUACGAAUGUCUUCCAGACUGCGGCGUUCAUUCUCCAAGGUAAUGGCCUUGUCAACCAGCGUUUUAAAAUCCGGGAAAGUGUGUACGACCAGUUGGCAUCUUAGUGCCGGUGCCAGGCCGUCCAAGAAUUUUUUCCAUCCUUUUGUUCUCAGUCAUAUGUUCAUCAUAGGCAUAACGAGAUAGCUGGGUAAACUGACCGUUGUAUUCUGUCACUGACAUGCCUCUCUGCUUGAGGUCAUCAAAUUCUCUUUUCUUGAUUUUUAUGAUGCUCCUGGGGAUGUGUGCCCCACGAAAGCCUUCCUUGAACUCCUCCCAGGUGAUGUUGUGUUCACUGGGAUGCAUGUGUAGGAAGUUUUCCCACCAUGCUGCAGCUGCUCCAGUAAGGUAGUGGGGUGCAUAAAGCACCUUCUCAUGAUCUGAACACUGAGCAAUAAUCAGCUUCCUUUCGAUGUCACGAAGCCAAUCAUCGGCUUCAAGUGGCCUAUCGGUGUGAGCAAACGUUGAAGGGCGUGUCUUCUGCAGUUCAGACAACUUGGAGUGUGGUUGAUAUGGCUCACGGUGGUUCCCCAUAUUGAUGACGUGAUUCAUCAUUUCUUGGUGUUGCUGUUGGCUUUGUUCGAAAAGGCGGCAUACUUGAGAUAAGGCUGCCUUGCUGUCCUGUUGACUAGACUGUCCCUGAGUGAAGUUGUUGCUGGUCUGUGUUCCAUAAACUUCUUCUGGUUGAUUGGGCAUGGAACGAGUCCACGGACGAGACAUUUUCCACUCUGGGGUAUUAUUUAGCAAAACUCAUGAGAAGAACUGUGUGGCACACGGAAAAUCUUGCAAAGGCAAAAAUUUAAAAGACCACAAGAUUUUUCAAGAAAGCAUAAACGAUUUCGCACGGAGAAGGACCGCUUAGCACAUAUCUUACACGCGAAACACAAAUAUACGAUACAGCACUCAGGAUGUGCGUACACAUUCCUGACAUGUUAUUAGACUAGCACACUCCUCCGGAAGGCAGCGAACACAACUACUACAAACUAACGUACAGAUAAAAUACAUGCAGGCACAACGCGCGGCUACUCGGCGCUCUCAGUCGGAGAUGGUGACGAUGUCCUUCCCCUUGCUGAGGGUAAGACCCAGCGGCGCAGGAGACUCAACCUCCACCUCCUCUCUAGUAGGCUCCAGGCGUGUAGCACUACGCUGAGGUGAUGGCGCGGGUGACAGGCGGCAGUGCGGGGGCGGCCGGCGGUGCAGCUCUGACUGGAGUAGGAGCGAUGACUCGAUCGAACUCCUCAGUGGUAGGCAGACGGCGAGCAGUGGCCAAAAUGGCCGGUGCAUAAGAUGCUGAGGACGAGACGAAUGUCAGAGGCGGUGCCAUGUGGAGAAGCUCCUUCCUGCUGGCAGGACCGCCCCGGACUAAGUCCAUGCGGGCAGCCACAAGAUCGUCCACGAGGUUGUCGAAAGAUUCCUCCAGAGCUUUGAGGUACUCAACAACCAUCUCGAUGGCUUCAUCUCGCUCUCCCCUAUGGCAGGCGAAUGCAUAAUGACAAGUAUAUGGCACAUGGCAUGGGAGGUAGCGGUAGCGACGAGUCUUCAUCAUAGGGAGAAUGUCCCGAAGGCGAG